rnacentral:lncRNA from 1 species
CGGGAUGGAAGGAGCAUCAUGGGACCAGCCAGUAAAAUUCCACUACGCUCUGAAGCCCAUUUGGAGGUGAUUUCAAAACACUGGGCUUUUUCCGGCCCCGACCUGAUGGGAGGCUCUGGGUACCCUCAGGUAUGUCGAUCUAUACAGGAAGUCGGGAGGCAUGAUUAUUAAUAACUGGAACAAAAUCGUUAUUAUCUUUCCAUGCCCGAUGCCAUGCUGAACGAGCCCUGCUUGCUUCUGCGAGCCAGCCAGACUGCUGGAUUUUCUUGAAGGGUAUUGGGUUGCUAAGCAACAGCGCUGGCAGCAUCCAUCAUGCCCAGCAAUGUCAGCACCCGAGUGUGGCCCUGCAGAGCACGCUUGCACCCCUCCCCCAGCCUCCCCUUGCACCCCUCCCUCCCCGCCGCUCCCCAUGAAAACGUUAAUUUGCAUCUUGGGGGCAGGAGCCGUGCCAGGUGAUUCUGGGUCUAAAACACCACGGGGCAGCACAUGAAGCACAAAUAUUGUUUUUGGUGGCAGAACGGGGCAUGUGACGUCGUUGAAAAUACAGGCUCAUUUGUGUACCCACCUCAUAUAAGGAGUGUAGGCAUAAUUUAAAAGCCUGCACGUCAAAUACCGUGGUGGGUUCUGCCUUUAAAUCAUUUUCCCUCUCUGCCCAUACAGCAUCUUAUUUAUACCCUGUUCAGUCCAUAUCUAUCUCCCUCCCUUUGUUCCGUGGUCUCCUGGGUGAUGGAGUUAUUGUUUGUGUGUAGGGCUCUGUGGACAAAAGAGAGCCGAUUUCUAGAUGGGAGAUGGCCCUGUGCUUAACGGUUGGAGGCCGCUGUUGGCAAGGCCUGUCACUAUGACAGUUUUGCUCUGGAACUGCCCAUUUUCUGGGCAGGGUCCCCAUGUGGGCACCAUCUAUCUGUGCCUUUUUCUUCCUUUUGAGGGGCGCCAGGCCGCGUAAACUCGUAAAGUGCUGGAGGCAGAGUCGUAGACAAGAAAGAGUAUCUAUCCGCUUUGGAUCCUCUCGGAUAGACCUAGAUCCAAAUCCUUUCUCCUCCCCAACCAGCUCUGGCAUCUUGGCAAGUGACUCUCCCUAUUUCUGAAAAGGAAGUUAAUGAAAACCACCUCACCGGGUUGUUGGGGGAGGGCCUAGUGUGAAACUGCAUCAAUACGCCUGGCCCACAGUGUUUAUUAAAUGGCAGAUAUUACAAGGAUUGAGUGAAUCACACAUGAUUCCCAGUUGGAAGGGCGUUUAAGGCGUCAUCUGGUUCAGCCCCGUAAGAAAUUCUAAUUCCCCCGCAUCUUCCGGUGGAUAAGCGGGGCAAGCCGCUGGUGGAUUGCCAAAGGCUACGCCAAGUUGACCCUUGGUGAUAGGGUUGGGUUAUAAGAUCUCAGACUCGUGGUCCAGUGGUCUUUCUUCUGGGCCCAUUAUGAUACCUACUGCCUUCCUUAAAGUUAUCUUGAGGCCUUACGGUGGACUGAUGGUUCUCCUUAUAACUUGUUCAAGUCUGACUGGCAGGAACUUUUGACUAACUGUAGGGUUUUGGUGGUGAUCAAAACAUAGAAUUUGACCGGAGGCCUGGAGAAGAUGAAAAAAGUGCCCGAGGAGCCCAUGAGGAUGACUUUACUGGGUUUUCCUCUGACAACUCUACCGUGCUUUACGUUACCUCUGCUCUAAAGCCAUGAAACAAGACCUUUAUAUCUCCUCAGUUAUUACCAAAAAUGCAAUUUUAUACAUUUAAAGUACCCUCCUCUCCUCAAAAAUCCAUACCAUUCUUUCUUAGAGAAACCACGUUCCCUGAAGGAAAACGGGGGCCUUCCUGGUCUGGUGUUCCCAGUCAAGGAAGAGCCAAGCAGGCAGCCCUCAGCUCGAGCCCAAGGAAGCCAUGUUGGUCUAGUUGGGCGUGCAACUCCUUUUUAGGAGACUAGAAAGAGGAACAAGGGAUCGGUCUAGGUUUGCUCCAGGUCAAAGCUGGAGGGGAAAGACAAUGAGCAAAGUAAAUUUUGAAGGAAAUAGACCAGUGCACUUGGGAGACCCAAGCUACAAGGAGUGGGAGGGAUACAUCGGUGGCCAAGAAAAGGAUAUGAGUAAGGAGGGGGGUCUUGUGAAAUCCUACCAGGGAGGCUCUCUGUGCAUCUCUCUGACUCCUAGCCCCACUGCAGGGUCCUGGGGCACCAAACCAGGAAGAGGUGGGAAACAUUCCUCCAAAGGCAGGCUGUGGUAUACACUAACUAGAGGUGAUUCGAUGUCCAGGGUCAGUGACAAAAUACUCAUAUCUAGAAAACUGGGUCAAGGACAUGGGCCAGACUUACCUUUGCUUUGUCACUCAGCUGUGUCACUUCAAGCAAGUCAUAAUGCUUGGGAACUUCAGUUUCCUUAUCAGAAAAAUGGGGAUAAGAAUAUAUGCUUUAAGGUUGAUUUGAGAAUAAACGAGAUAAUCUACAUAAAGCACUAUGUACAAUUCCUGACAUGCAGAAUAGCCCAGAAUGAGUAAUUAUUCUUGUUGUUAUGGCCUGAGGGUCUCCCAGGAAGAGAAGCACUCACACUUGUUCUUCAGUCACAGGUUAGAAAAGCCCCAAUUCUACCCCAAAACGUGAAAGCCUUUUCACUCAAGCAUAGUGAAGUGGUCUGCAGAAAACUUACAAGCAUGGCCUUGGGGCCCAGUCCAGCUCCCUUGGAAAAAACUGCUAUUUUCCCAGCCUGCCAACAAUAAUUUCCUUCUUUUGGGUGGCCCUGAGCACAGCGCUGGGUCCUCAGGGGCUAUUUGAAAAUUAGGACUCAAAAAGUAUAAGCUGAACCCCAUGAUUACACUGAUUCUUCCAUCAGAGAGGUGUGACUUUGAGGGGGAGCUCACAUGAGAUCCUGGGACUGAGACAAAGGCGGGUGUGACUUUCCCAGAUUCAACCUCUUGACAAAUAAAAUAAUAAGGAAAUACAUAAUAAGAGAAUGCUAAUUAGAAGAAAGUUAGUGUGGCCAUAACAGUAUCAGGCAAAAUAGUCUUUAAUUAUUAAAGCACUAUUAGAGCAUAUUAGGAGGGUGCCUGGCUGGCUCAGUCAGUAGAGCAUGUGACUUGCCAUCUGAGGGUUGUGAGUUCAAACCCCACGUUGGGCAUGAAGACUACUUAAAAAAAUUAAAAGCCGGGAAGUGGGUGCAACACAACAAUAACAAAACAAUGCAGUGUUAGGGAGAAAAAAGUAUGUAGUCACUACAUAUGAUGAAAGGAACAGUUCAUCAAGAUACGUUCACUUGGAUUGCACCUAACAAGAUUGCCUUAAAAAAAUCUAUAUCAAACACUUGCAUAAUAACGGGAAAUAUUGGCAAAUAUUUUUCCACAUUUAUAGUGAGAGAUUGAAUGUCACUUCCAUAGUAAUUGAUAAAACAAGAAGACAGAAAAUUAGUAAGGGCGUAGAUUUGAACACAAUGCAUAGUCUUGAACAAUAAGCAUACAUGUAAUUCCUCACUCAACAAUAGAACAUAUACAUUUUUUAAGCAAAUAUGGAAAAUUUAUAGAAGUUGACUAUAUACCAGAUAUUUAUGGUAUGAGGCCACUUUAUGUAAAGUUUAAAAACUAUAAAACUCUACUGUAUAAUGUUUGUGGAUGUUAUACAUAUUAAAGUCAUAAAACGCAUGGAAGCAAUAACUCGCAAAUUCAGGCUGUGAGCUUUUCUGGACAUGGAAGGAAGGAAAGGGGAUGAGAGAAGGACUUAUUAGAGACCUUACCAGUAUCUGAAAUGUUUUUAAAAAAUAAACAAAAGAAAAGAUCAGCUCCUGGUCCUGGUCCAGAUAGAGUUUACCAUCUAAGCCUACCUCUCCUGCAUAAUUACAUCUGAAACUUUGGCCAAGGAGUGACUACCUGAGGACUCUGAAAAAUAAUGGCAGGCAGACUGAGGAGGGGAGUCAAAACUUGAAGAAUGAUCCAUUCAGGGGUGAGUUUCUCAUUCCCCCCCCCUUUUAGGUGCCAACUUUUAUCUGAGGGAAACCUCAUUGUCGACCUAAAACUCUGACAGAAACCAUAUCUUCUGGCUAGAAGACUGAGGAAAGGGUUCCCAGGAACGAGCAAGUAGCAGAAAUUCUGGAGAAGAGAGAGCUGGAGAAGGGGACCUUCCAAUUCUGUGUGUGAACCAACACCGAUCCUGGACUUGGCCGAGAGUCACAUAUGCCAAGGACAUACCUAAAUGCAGUACUACAAAGGCUAUGACAACUGACUUGACCUUGCAUCCCCACAAACAGAAGACAAGACAGCACUUGUGAUCUGAACCCAAUUGAGUUGAUUGUGUGCUAAAACAAAACAAAACAAAACAAAAUACAACAAAACAAAGUCAACAUUCUGUAGAAUUUUUUUUUUAAAUAGUAUUUAGAGUCUUACAGCAUAAUGUUCUAAAUGUACAGGAUGCAAAGCAAACUACUUGACAUGAAAAGAACCAGGAAAAUGUGACCAUUUUUCAAGGGAAAAGACAAUCGAUGAUGUGAAUCUUGAGAUGGCCCAGAUGUUGGAAUUAUCAAAUACUUUAAGGCAGCUGAUAGAAUCAUGCCCAUAAAAUAAAGGUAAACACCCCCAAAUGGAAAGCUAGAAUUGGUCAGCAGAGAAAUAGAAACUAUCAAAACAAGAACACAAUGGAAAUUUUAGAAAGGAAAAUGAUAAUAUCUGAAAUGAAAAAGCUCAUUGAAUGAGUUUAAUGGGAGAAUGGAGUCAGUGAACUUGAAGACAGAUCAAUAAAAUGACCCAAACUGAGGGAGAGAAAAAUAAUUUGGGGGAAAAAAAAAUAACAUAGUCUCAGGGGACUGUGGGACAAGAUCAAAAGGUCUAACAUCCUGUUGUUAGAGCACCAGAUGGAGAGAGGAAAGAGAUAGAAACAAAGUAUUUGAAGUAUUUAAUUAAUCACUGAAACAUCUCAGAUUUGGUGAAAAACACAUAUUUGUAGUUCAAGAAGCUCUGCAAACCUCAAACAGGAUAAACUAGAGGGGAAUCACACCUAAACACAUCUAAUCAAACCGUUGAAAAACAAAUAUAGUGGAAAAAUCUUGAAAGCAGCCAGAGAUAAGUAACACAUUAGACAUAAGGGAACAAUGACUCACAUGACUGAGGAUUUCUCACCAGAAACCAUGGAGGCCAGAAGACAGUAGAAUAACAUCUUCAAAGUGCUUAAAGAAAAGAGCUGUUAAACCAGAAUUUCUAUAUCUAGGGAAAAUAUUCUUUAGGAAUUUUGGUAAAAGAAAGACAUUCUCAGAUUAAGAAAAAGUAAGAGAAUUCUUUGCCAUCAGACCUUCUCUAAAAUAAAUACUAAAGGGAGUCCUAUAGACUUAACAUAAGUGAUACCAGAGGGAAGCUUGGAACUUCAGGAACCAAGGGAGAGCAACAGAAAUGGUGAAUAUCUGGGUAAGUGUAAUAGGCUGUUUUUCUCCUCCUAAGUUCUUUAAAUAUGCUGUAGAGCAAAAAUUAUAGCAUUAGUGGGGUCCUUAAUUUAUUUAGGAAUAAUACAUAUAAUAAUUCUAAUAGAAAGGGGGAGAGAAAUAAUAUGUAUAUGUUUGUAAGGUGUCUACAUUUUCCUAUGAAGUGGUAAAAUAGUAACUUGAAGUAGACUGUGAAAAGUUAGGAAUGUAUAUUCUAGUCUCUACAACAGCCGCUAAAAAAUUUAAUAUAAAGAGAUAUAGCUUAAAAAGCCAACAGAUAAAUUAAAGUGGCAUACUAAAAAACUCAAAUAAUCUAAAAGAAGACAGGAAAGAUGGAAGAGAACCAAAAACAGAGGGGACAAAUGAAAAACAAAUACUAUAAUGAUGGCCCUAAACCCAACCAUACUGAUAACUACAGUUGAUGUAAAUGAUCUAAACAUACCAAUUAAAAAAACAGAGAUUAUCAGAUUGUAUAAAAAUACCCAGAUAGAAGUUGCCUACAAAAAAACCCAGUUUCAAUACAAUGACAUAGGUUCAAAAUAAGAAAAAGAUAUAAAACAAAUAUGAUAACAUGAUAGAAUCAGAUGGUAGGUACUUGUGAGUUAAUUAUAUUAGUUGCUAUUAUACUCUAUAUGUCUGAUGUAUUUAUAAUAAUAAUAAAAGGAAGUUGGAACAAUACACUUUCUCUCUUUUACCUCAGAUAAAUUUAUGAAGGAUCUGAAGAUGUCUGGCCCCCAUCUGAGUGUCCCAUCUUGUUCCUUCUAGUUACCUGUAUAGGUAGACCAGUGUAGGAACCACGAGCCUAGGAUCUGGAAUCAGGCAGCCAGACUUCAAAUUCCACUUCCUACCUGCUGAGCAUGGACAAAGAACCUAACUCCUUUAAGUCUCAGAAGGCUUCAGUUGUAAGAUAGAUAAAACAUUACCUAACUGUAAGAAUUUAUUUUGAGGAAUAAAGAUAAUAUUGUACCAAAGUACUUGGCAUAAUGCUUGGUACAUAGGAAUUAUUCAGUAAAUAUUAGUCAUUAUUAGCCACAAUGAUUUACCUGGUGUUCAUUUUAUCUCCUUGCCUUUUCUUACUACCAAAGUGCAGCUUGCCGCCUAUUAAUGAGUGAUAAAAUCAAUUGAGUUGAUUAUGACAAGCAUUUUUUAAAAACUGGAAUAAAAUGAUACAGAAUAGAAUGAGAUGGGGACGCCUGGAUGGCUCAGUUGGUUAUGUGUCUGACUUUGGCUCAGGUCAUGAUCUCACAGUUCGUGAGCUUGAGCCCCGUGUGGGGCUCUGUGCUGGCAGCUCGGAGCCUGGAGCCUGUUUCAGAUUCUGUGUCUCUCUCUCUCUGCCCCUCCCCUGUUCAUGAGCUGUCUCUCUCUCUCAAAAAUAAAUAAACAUUAAAAAACUAAAGAAAAAAAAUAGUAGAAUGAGAUGGAAUGUUAUGGAACCAAAUGGAACAUAAUAGAAUAGAAUUUUAAAAAGUGAAUUGUGUGUAGUUGGGGAAAGAAUUGUUUCAGUGUAUGGGUAUAAAGUGUAGUUCUUACUGUGGGUUUUGGCGUGAAGAGACCUGGGAAACACUCGUUCCCAUGAUUCCUUUGGCCUGGGAUAGUGAGCUCCUUGCUCCUCUCCAGUGGAUUUUCAAGGCCCUACUUUAAGACCCACAUUUUUUUGAGAAGUUUUCAUGUGAUCCUCAUUGUUAUUGGCUGCCAGUUCCAACUAGGAUCAAACCUGUCUUCACUGAGCAAUAGUUUCAGAAAUGUCGCAAAACAGUUCUAAAGACACAGAGUAAACCUCUGGCCUUGUGUUCCAGAUUUCGCAGCUAGGUUUCUAACUUGCUUUGACUCCAGUAACAGGAAUUAUAGACCCCUAGGGUCCAACAUGGGUGUAGGAGUGUCUCAGGACACUAGCAUAGUUACCACAGAGUUAAUGCUUAGUCGGCUCCUCCAACUGGCUCCCACGGUGCCCAUACGAAGGGUGGCCCUUGCCUUGCUUCCCUAGAACAAGCCCCAGGACAUCCAUCCAUUCCGGUUUUUUUUAACCAUUCAAUACACAUACCAGUCAUUCUCAUUCUUUGCUAGCAUGGAAUUAGUGAAUACUGAAUUAUGGCCCCAAGAGAAAAAUAGGGUUAGGUUCCUGGGAGGCUCUGGUCACAGCAUUUUUGUCAACCCAAUAUGUAGCUUUGUUUUAGGUGUAUUUCUGUUUAAAGAGAUUAUAUUUGAUGUAUGUUGUUGAUUUAUUAACAUUGACCUCGCAGCCAACAGAAUAACACCUGCCUGAAGGAAGCUGCACUAACGCGUGUAUUUUCUCCAUAAGGCACAUCCCAGUCUUCUUGCACUUAGGGACACAAGACAGCACUUCAGCACAGUGCUUGGGGCCAUUUUAAACAGUGAAAUCAACAACAGAAAUCUCAAAAUGUGAAAAAUGUGGACGGAAUAGACCAGGAAAAGUGUCAAAGCUGAAACCAGAAAAUGUCGUCUCGUUCAGCCUCACGUGGGAACGUGUGCAUAGGAGAUUUAAAUUCAUCCCUGCUUUGUGCACAUCCCUGAAUGCCUAGAAAAGCACUUGGGGGUUGCAAAUGAAUUUUAUCAAGUAAGAGAAUUUGCAAAUAUGAAAUCUGUGGCAAAUGACAGUCAACUGGAUAUCAUGUGUCAGUUGGCCAAGGACUAGGGUUGUUAAGCAAAGGCAGACAUGGCCUUUGCCCUUGUGGAACCCAUGGACCAGUGUGGGAGACAAAUCACAAGUCCACAACAGGCGAGUACAUCUAUCACUUCAAGCUGUGGAAAGGGCCGUAUGGGAGAUAUUGGGGUUCACGGAUAAGAAAGAGAGAAACGUGUGUGGUGGGGAGACACCUCUCUGAAACCAGAAAUAUAAGAAGGAGCCCACCAUGUGAUUAGAACAGUAUGGAGAAUGUUCCAGGCUGUGGGAACUGUACCUGGAAAGGCCCUGAGAUGGGAAAAAACUUGGAGUCUCAGGUUUCAAGUAUUCAGUCUGUCAGCGUGUCCUUUUGGUUCUACCUUACUAAUAUACCCAGAAUCGAUCCCUUGUCCCCACCUCCCUAUACCACCCUCCCUCAAGGAACCAAAGGAAGCCAGUGUGGCCAUGCACAGAACACAAGGGGAUGGUAGCCUGAGAUGCUGGCAGGCAUCCGAUCAUGCGGGACUCUGUAGGUUCUGGAAAAGAGCUUGGCUGCGGUGGAAAUGCUAUGGGAAGCCACGUAUAUGUGGGUUUUAAGCCAGGGAGUGAUGAGAUGUGGUUUAUGUUCUAAUACCAGGUACUCCUGAAGAGAGGAAGCAUCAGGAAGGAGUAAGGGAAGAAGUGAGUUCUGUAAUCCUGAGCCUGGGGUGGUGGAGAUGGAGAUGAAAAGACAUGGGUUGGUCUGGGAGGCGGAAUCACAGGACCUGCUGAUGGCUGAGAGGUGGCAGGUAAGCCUUCGGGGAGAGGACCUGGGGUCCUACAAGCUCUGCCCCUUGGGCUCAGCAAUUCCUGUCACUUGUCCUGGGCCAAGCCAUCUCAUUUCCUCAUCCUUGUUCUUCCAGGCCUGGCCCUUGCAGCUCCCUACAUUCUGAGCCCACUUUCUGAUGGCUGACUUUGAAUUCCUUUUGGAUUACUGGCUUGUCUCUUUUCCUGCUCUUGUCACAUGCCCUCCAGUACUGGUAGAAGCUUCUGUGUGUGUCUUACCUGUCCUGGUGGACUGAAGCACUUGGAGGGUCCUUGCCUCUUAUGUUCUACCUCACCUCUGAAGACACCCAAGCUGGUAUCUCCCACUUGGACGCACCCCCUGACCCCAAGAUUCGUAUUUUCAAUUGUCCACCUAGUACUUCUGUUGGAAAAAUUAACAGGCAUCUCAGAUGUAACUUGCCCAAGACUGGACAAGCCCCCAAUUCUCCCUUCCCACCGUCUCGCCUCUCAGUUGAUGGCAACUUUAAUCUCAUUAUUCACACCCUAGGAUGUAAGUGUCAAAGCUCUGGGAUAAGGCAGAGACCCCAAAGCCCCGAGGUCAUCCCAGGAAGGUGUCCCCAAAUCUGUACACACAGCAGGCCAGGCCCAGAGUAUAGAAGUGCAAAAUAGUCCCGUGUUUGGUCACAGAUUCUAGAGAGCUGUGAAGUCCUGAGGAAAUCCAUUUUGAGUAAUAUCUUUUAUAUAAAAGAAGAGGAAAAUGAAAGCAGUUCAUCAUACAACAUAGGUAAUAGAGUCAAUAAUACUAUAAUAAUUUGUACGUGACGGAUUACGUUUAUCAUGGUGAACAUUGCAUGGUGUAUAUAAUUGUUGAAUCACUAUGUUGUACACCUGAAAUUAAUAUAAUAUUAUAUGUCAAGUAUACUUCAUUUAAAAAAUAAAAGUGGUUAAUCACAGGAUGAGUUUUGUUAGACAAAGAUGGCAAUUCAGGUGGAAACACAAAUUUAAAACUUAAGAGUACACAGCUGACAUCGCAGGGGGUUGGGGCUGGUGGAUUAUGUCAGAAGUUACUGUUUGCACCCUCUGGAGCUUACAAGCUAAAAGCAGGGGCCAGACCCUGGGUAGGAAAUAGUUGGGGGCACUUUGGGGGCUCAGUUGGUUAAACGUCCGACUUCGGUUCAAGUCAUGAUCUCAGGGAUCGUGGGUUCUAGCCCUGCAUCCGGCCCUGUGCUGAUAGUUCAGAGCCUGGACCCUGCUUCAGAUUCUGUGUCUCCCUCUCUCUCUGCCCCUCCCCCAACCCUCAAAAAUAAAUAAACAUUAAAAAAUUUAAAAAAAAGAAAUAUAUGAAAGAACGAUGCUAUAGGAGCCAGAUAAAAAAGAUGGCCAUUCCACAUAUUUGACCUUGGCAUUUGUCUUUGUGGUUUCACUGAAAAAUGGUACAGUGUGUGUGUGUGUGUGUGUGUGUGUGUGCCUGAAAUUUUUAGAAUUUGUAAAACUCUAUAUAUUAAAAUUAUAAAUUUAAGAAAUAUAUAUACAUAAAAAUAUAACAAUAUAAGAAUAAUAGUACAUAUGUAUCCACCAUAUAUUUUAUAUGUAGGAUAAAAAUAAAUAAAAGUAAUAAUAAAUAUAUAAUGUAAGGAGAUAACACAUAAAAUAAGAAAGAAAUAAAAAUAAUCGAGUAUUCAAAUUCUAUCAUGAGCUUGCUUUUAGCACCCACCCCACAUUCUCUAUUAUAUUAGGACACUUCAGUUGACAAGUAAAAGAAACUGAGCCCAGCCCAACUUACGACACGGAUAGAUCUGAUUUUUUUUACUGUUUGCUUCUACCAUUAGAAAAGUCGGGGGGGUGCCUGGGUGGCUCCGAGGGUUAAGUGUCCCACUCUUGAUCUCGGCUCGGGUCAUGAUCUCACAGUUGGUGAAUUCAAGCCCUGCAUUGGGCUCAGUGCUGACAGUGCAGAGCCUGCUUGGGAUUCUCUCUCCCUCUCUCUCGGCCCCUGCCCCUCUUGCACACGCUCUGUCCCUCUCAAACUAAAUAAACUUAAAAAAAAAAAAGAAAAGGAAAAGAAAGAAAAGUCAGGAAGUGGGCUCAGGAAUGAACGGGCGGGGGAACGGCUCCGCCUCUCCUCUGUCCCCGCAGGUCGGCUCGCCCAGGCAUCACUCGUUCCGGCUCUGGCCGCAGAUCCAUUGUCAACCUGCCAAAGGAGGGAGCUGCUUCACUCCCAGGCUUGAUGCCCAGACGGGCAGAGGGAGCUUCUCUUUCUCCUAACAGCAUCGUGUCAAAGUCAUGGGUGAGCUCGGUGGCCCUGCCUGGUCACAUGCCCCUCAGCCCUCCAGGUUGGCAGGAGUGAUGGGUACUGUGUCUGGCCAGGCCUGUGCCACUGUCACCUCCUCCUUAGAGGGCCAGGUGCCAUGACUCAGCCCCCCCCAGAACCUCAUCGGCUGGGGGAGAAGCAGCUCCUCAAAGGAGCAGGGAGCGCAGACAACACUCGCCCAUAAUCUUGGCUUUUUCCCUCCUGCCAACAAGAGACAUUUUCUCCCUGAGACUGAUACAAAGCACCAGUUUAUAAAGAAUGUUUUAUAAAGCCCUUUCUCCGAGCUGUUUCCAUGUUCUGGGUGUUUUGUGUUCCAGUCGGAAGACUUGAGAGAAGAAAAAUUCCCCAGUCUGAGGAUCAACCUAUUUCUCAUUCUGGGAGCAUUUGAUAAAACAUGGGCUCUAACAUCAAACUACAAAGCUUCUGCACAGGAAAGGAAGCCAUCAACAAAACGAGAAGACAGCCGACUGAAUGGGAGAAUAUAUUUGCAAAUUAUGUAUCUGAUAAGGUGCUAACUUCCAAAAUACAGAAAGGACUCAUACAACUCAAUUGCAAAAAGCAAUCUGAUUAAAAAAUGGCCAGAGGUUAUGUGCUGUGAGGCAGGUGUCAGAUGAAACUAUGGUGGUAAUCAUUUUGCAAUAUAUAAUUUUAUCAGAUAACCCAUAGUACACUUUAAAUUGCACAGCGUUAGAUGUCAAUUGCAUCUGAGUAAAGCUGGGGGUGGCAAAAAAGGGAGGGAAAAAAAUGGCCAGAGGAUCUCAAGACACAUUUUUCCGUAGAAGACGUCCAGCCGGCUAACAGGUACACAAAAGGCGCUAAACAUCACUCAUCGUCAGGGAAAUGCACAUCAAAACCACAGUGAGGUAUCACCUCACACCUGUCAGAAUGGCUAUUUAUCAAAAAGACAAGAAAGAACAAGACCUGGUGAGGCUGUGGAGAAAAGGGAACCCUCGUGCACUGUUGGUGGGAAUGUUAAUUGGUACAGCCACUAUGGAAACUAGUAUGGAGGUUCCUCAUAAAAUUAAAAAUCGAACUACCGUAUGAUGCAGCAAUUCUACUUCCGGGUUUUUAUCCAAAGAAAAUGAAAACGCUAAUCCAAAAAGAUAUGUGUACCCCCAUGUUCAUUGCAGUGUUAUUUACAAUAGCCAACAUGUGGAAGCAACCUGAGUGUCUAUUGACAGAUAUGAAUGAGUAAUGAAACGUGGCGUAUGUUUAUAUACAAUGGAAUGUGAUUCAGCCAUAAAAGAGAAGGAGGUCUUGCCAUUUGUGACAAUAUGGAUGGGACCUUGAGGAUAUUACCUUAAGUGAAAUAAGUCAGACAGAGAAAAACAAUUAUUGUAUGAUUUCACUUAUGUGUGGAAUCUAAAAAGCAAAACACACAAAAACUCAAGUUCGUAGAUACAGAGAACAGACUAGUGACGUCAGAAGCGAAGGGUGGAGGGACGGUGAAUUGGGUAAAGGGGGUCAAAAGGUACACACUUCCAAUCAUAAAAUAAGUAAGUCACAGGGAUGUAAUGUACAGCAUGGGGACUGCAGUUAAUAAUACUAUAUUGCAUAUUUGAAAGUUGCUAAGAGAGUGGGUCUUAAAAGUUCUCAUCACAAGAAAAAGAAUUUAUGACUAUGCAUGGGUGAUCGAUGUUAACUAGACUCACUAUGGUGAUCAUUUCACGACGAUAUAUAUAAACGUCGUAUCAUUAUGUUGUAUGCCUGAAACUAAUAUAAUAUUAUAUGUCAAUUAUACCUCAAUUAAAGACCAACCCAAACCAAACGAAAACCAACCAACCAAAAAAAAAAAGACCUGUGGGCUCUCCAGAGAAAACUGCAUUUAAAUCCUGCCUUUGCUGCAAGGGUGUAGGCAUUUGGGAACAUUACUUAGGUUCUGUUGGCCUCACUAUUCUCAUCUGUAAAAUGGGGAUAAAAUUGUACUCCUUGGUUUUGGGCUAAGAAUUAGAGUAGGUAACAUGUAUUAUGAAGUAACACGGGGUCUCGGCAGAUGUUCUUUUAUUUACCUUCCCCUUCAGGUACCAACUGUGUGAUUCCUGACCCUUUGAGGAGCCUUGGAAAAACAAAAUGUGAUAGUCUUCAGGGACAUUCUAGGCACACUAUAAUUUGCCACGUUCAUUCUACUGAAAUAAUCCAUUCAAGUCUUUUUUUUUUUUUUUUCCACCGAAGAGUAGGUUCCUUGAAACCUGGAUCGUAUUAUCCAUUUUUUAUGUCCCCAGUGUCAAACUCAGUGCCUGCCACACAGUAGGAAUUCGAUCAAUGUGGAGCGGCUGAGCCACCAGGAAGAGCUUUUGAGCGUGGCUGAUCAAUGGUGCCUUUAGAAAAGCCAAGAGAUGUGUGGGUUACCUGCACACGGAGCAAAUGUUCCAGGAUUUUCUGGACUUGUUUAAUUUUUUUUUUUUUAACGUUUAUUCAUUUUUGAGAGACAGAGAGAGACAGAGCAUGAGCGGGGAAGGGGCAGAGAGAGGGAGACACAGAACCCGAAGCAGGCUCCAGGGCUCUGAGCUGUCAGCACAGAGCCCGACGUGGGGCUCGAUCUCACAAACCGCGAGAUCAUGACCUGAGCCCAAGUCGGACGCUCAACCGACUGAGCCACCCGGGCGCCCCUAAUGUUUAUGUGAACAUAGCAUCUUCCUAGCUGGAGGCAGAAUAGGGAAGAAGAGGUGGCUACACUGCCCGGGCUUAAAUCCUUACUCUAGUACCUACUUGCUUGUGAAAACGUGGGGCAAGUUUCUUGAAAUAUUUGUGCCUUGGUUACCUCAUGUUUGAAAUGGGACCCCAGUGAUAUCAAGCACAUAGGGCUGUUAAGAGAAUUAUAGGAGAUAAUGGGGGAACCCCCCCCCAAACACAGCCAUUAUAUACCGUGUGCCCCACAUUACUUAUGCUAGAAUAAAAGUCACUGCCUGUAAGUAUCAGAACAUGAUGUAGGCUAUGGGAAGGGGCCCGAUCUGAGGCCAGAGGGCUUGCUCAGGAGUCAUUGUGUUUGUAGGAGUACAGGCUUAGCUGCUGUAACAAAGAUGUGCCCAAGCACCAAGGCAGAAGGUGGAAGUUGAUCUCGUUCCCAUGCAACAGGGCAGAGGUCAGCAGUUCAGGGCUGCCAGGUCAGUUCUGCAGCCUCAGUAAGGGCUUUCCAUCUCUGUGUCUGGGGCACUGCUUCAGUUCUUGUCCUCUCCUUUCAGCCUUUCACUUCCAUUAACAUUACUCAGUCCUGUGACCAUAUCUGCCUCAAAGGAGGCUGGGAAAUGUAGUCUUGAGCAAGGCAGCCAUGUUGGCAGCUAAAAUGUUACAGGACAGCAGGGUAGAAGAACAGAAAUUGGGGGGACAACGGGCAGCCUGCCCUGGCCACUCAGGACCUCCUAAAAAGUACAACAGUGGCAGUUACCUCUCAAAAGGGCUCUUUGCUGGAUUCCUGCAGCAGCCAUGCAUUGUACGAAGCCAACUCCCCACGAACCAGAGGGGAGUGUAGGAAAUGAUUCAGGCUCCCUGGCUGACUCAGACACUGAGCAUCCUGGAGAGAAAAGUAGCCAUACACCCAUUUGGGGCUUUGGGUUUAGUUUAUAAUAAUAAUAAUGACUUUGGCAUAGAAAACUUCCUGAGGGUUAAUGAAUGACUGGCUGGAUUAAUAGCCCAAAUCGCUGCCUGAAGUCUAUCAACUCCUUCCAGCUUCAUAUUAAUCUACAGGAAAUUCUUUGUACACCCAGCUAUUACGGCUUCAAUCUCACAAAAUAAAAAUGAAUGGAUGCUUCUCUGGGACUUGGAAAAAAAAAAAAAAACCUGGCCACCAUUGUGUGUGGCCACUAUGCUAUUAUUAUUUUCUUUCAGGCACAUUUCCUGCAUUUUCUUUGGUUCUCUUUCUGGCUUCAAUUUGCUGCAGUGGGCAGCGGCCACGCCAGCAGCUGGCCGUUUAGAUUAGCUUUAAUCCCCCUUGCUAUUUAUAGUGCCCUCAGCAAACGUCAUCGCACAUGUGAUUCCCUAUUUAAAUUUGUCUUCCCAGCUAGACUGGGAGCUCCAUGAGGUCAGAGACAACCAGUAGACUCUGAGCUCUGCAGAGCCUGGCCACAGUGCCACUCAGUAACCAUUUGUUGAAUUCAACCCAAUGGAAUAGCUGCUGAAUCUUAAGUAGGUUACCAUCAGUCCAGUGGAUUCCUCAAAGCAAACCUGGGGAUCUCUGCAUUUAGCUGGGUUUAAGGGAGUGUGUACUUUUAGCUCAUCAAAAUUUGAUCAGCGUUUCCCAAGAGAACAUCUUGAAACAGAAAGGCAAGGAUGGAGAAGAUGAUGUCUAAUGCCAUCAAACUGUCACCUGUGAGAAGAAACCAGGGGUGUGCUAAAGUAACAGGUGACUUCUCCUGCUUGUAGGGACUCCCACUGCUUCCCUGGACUGAGAGUUCUCUGCCAGGGGAUGUCAGUGAUGAAAUAAGCAUGUUUCCCUCGGCAAAGUCCCCUGGUUUGGGGAAUUAGACUUUAUGGAUGGCUCCGGAUUUCCUCUGCCAUGUUAUUUAAACUCCUACCUUCUUGUCUGUGGGGCAUACGGCCGGUUUCUGGGAGGACUUGCCAAGUGAAAGGUGCGAGCCCUGAGCAGAGAUCUCACAAGAAUGUCUUGUCACUGAGGCUCAAUGAGCUGAGCGUUGUGGCUGCAUCGGCAGGACCCUGUCUUGGUGGAGGAUGGCCACCUGUGCCGUCAAUAAUCUUUUACUUUGAUUUCUCACUGGCACCCCAAGGUGGGCUUCAGACAGCCCUCCUCAACCCCCUCCUUAACACAAGCCAGGCGAGUCCCAGCUACAGAGAAUCCCUGGCAUCUUUGGUGGCUUUCAAACCAGGGGUAAAGAUUGAGUUAAAGAGACAGGAAGCCUGACACAGUGAGGGAGGUUAGGUAGGAAUAGAAUUAAGGGCUUAGAAAAUGCUUGUUUCCUUCUGUUGUAGUUAUAAGAGCUGAUAAGGGGAUUUCAGGGUUUUGGGGUGGGGGAGCCGUGGAAAAGAAUGAGAGAGUUUAAUCAACUAGAGGGACCUUCCCAACUUACAUUUCCCAGUGUUUGUGGCACGAGAACUUUGCUUAAGGUAAAGGUGCCCAAAACGAAAAGAAAAGUUCCCCAACAUGAAGCUUUGACAUGCCCUCAUCUUCUGACUGGGGGUCUUUGCUUUUAUUUUUCUCUUUUCAACCCAGGAUACCAAAUGUGUUGCGACCCCUCAAAUAAUACAAAGGCAUUGCGUCCAAGCAGGAUGCAUCUAACCAGACACGCAUUUAUAUGUCAACAUGUAGCUUAUUAAAGCAAGGCAAGGUCAACAUUUCUGUAUUAAAGGGAAUAGGGUCUAGUGGAGUUUUCAUAUAUAAAAACACUGCAUAGUUACAGACUUUCACGAUAAAUUGUUUUCUCAGGAGAUGAUAAAGGGACAGAUGCUCAUAACUCUUCCAUCAAGAGCUUUAAGAAAGUAAGAAAAGCCGGGGUGCCUGGGUGGUUCAGUGGGUUGAGCGUCCAACUUUGGCUCAGGCCAUGAUCUCAUGGUUCAUUGGUUUGAGCCCUACGUCGGGCUCUGUGCUGACAGCUCAGAGCCCGGAGCCUGCUUUGGAUUCUGUGUCUCCUUCUCUCUCUGCUCUCCCCCCUCCCCCACCUCACUCUGUCUCUCUCUCUCUCUCUCUCUCUCUCAAAAAUAAACAAACACUAAAAAAUUUAAAAAAAGAAAGGAAGAAAAGCUUCCGUCACCCCUUCAAGCCAUAACGACCCAUCAGAUUUUGUAACCAGGAGCACUUGAGUCAUCCCUUAACCUCUCUGAGCCUCAGAUUCUUUGUUAAAUGAAACAAGAUCCCUUCCUAGUGUACCUUUCUAGGGUUUUUGGAGGAGGUAAAAAUGAAAGGGAGAAUUCAACACAUGCCUGGCGAACAGGUCUCAAGAAUGAGCUCUAGACAGGUGAGCAACGUCUCUUAAUGACGUGCCGGCCUUCAGGUCUCCUUUUAGGAAAGGCAUCCCCUGAACUUCAAGACCAGAGCCCUGGAUUGUAAAGCCCUGGAUUACAUCUACUCCAUUCACAUUCUGUUAAUUAGCAGGGCUCCGGAGGGACACUCCCCUUGUCUUUCACACCUUUCCGUAAGUCCGGCGCUCUAGGUGAACAGGUGGGCACAACCAGAUCAGCGUUCUGUCCUGCGGUGCAAAGACCACAACGUGACCAGAGAAAACAAAGCACAAAAUUGCCUUUAACGACAUCUUUAAAAAUGACCUGUCUCCAAGUUUUAUUUGGUGCUUCUCAGUUUUCCAAUGGAGAGUUUGAGGAAGGGAUCCAAUUCAAUGGUCCGUCUCUUUCUCGCACUUCCCUCUCCUUCGAUGAAUUUCAAAUGGGGAAUGAUCACAUCCCAAACGGUGGCAGUCUCGGAAGCCAUGUGGUGUAACAGAAACCAUGUGAGGUUUAGAAAAGGCCGGGGUGUGCAUGCCAGCUCCACUCACCUGCCGAGUGGCACGCAGCCAGUCAGAGAAAACCUCUGUGCUCAAUUUAUCAGCUUCCUGUUGCCGCCGGAAUAUAUUACCACAGACUCGUCUUGAAACAAUACACAAUACACAUUUAUUCUCUUAUAAUUCUAGAGGUCUGAAAUCAACUUCACUGGGCCCAAAUCAUGGCAAGGCAGUGAUUCCUCUGGGGACUGUAGGGUGAGUCUGUUUCCUUGGCUUUCCCAGCUUGCACGGCUGCAUUCUUUCUAUUUCUUGGUUCUUGGCCCCUUCCUCUGUCUUCAAAGCCAGCGGCAUAGCGUCUUGCUUCAGUGGUCAUGUUGCCUUCCUUCCCUCUGCCUCCCUCUGGUAAGAACAUUUGUGAUUGGAUUUAGAGCCCAUCCACAUAUUUCAGAGCAAGGAUUCGUUUCAAGAUCUUUAAUCACAUCUGCAAAGUCUGUUUGCCAUGCUCCAGGGAUUAGGGCAUGGGCAUCUUUGGGGGCCAUUAUUCUGCCUACCAUAUCCAUCUAUUUAGUAAAGAUAGUAAUCCCUAUGCCAAAGGACACAAUAAUUGGAAAAAGUAAUAUUUGCGACUGUGCACAGAGUGGAAGCCAAUAAAAUGUCACUGAGUCUGGAAAAGGGAGGAGUUGACCUCCCAUUGGUAGGUUUCUACCCCCGAUGGACCCAAUGAAGAAUGACAGAGCCAGAACUGACAUGGUCUGGGGCAUGCUGAGGGUCGUGGCUGUAGGUGCCAGUGGCCCUGGACAUAGGAUCACUUCAGGACAGACUCAGAGGAAAGCGGAAAGUGCUUUAAUAAGGGGCUCGGACGCUCACAACCGGGGAAGACCAGGCUUUGUGACCUCCCUUGGAGCAUGAUAUGGAUUUGUGUCUCCCAAGUGGGAAGUUUAUUAUUUUACUGCUUCAAGAUCUGAUAGUGUCUGGUUACCCCACUCAUAAUGCUAGGACGUGGCAGGCCAAACUCCCCCAUCAAGAGUCUUUUUUUUUUUUUUUAACGUUUAUUUAUUUUUGAGAGAGAGAGAGAGAGAGAAGCAGAGCGCGAACAGGGGAGGGGCAGAGAGACAAGGAGACACAGAUCUGAAGCAGGCUCCAGGCUCUGAGCUGUCAGCACAGAGCCUGACGCGGGGCUCGAACUCACNNNNNNNNNNNNNNNNNNNNNNNNNNNNNNNNNNNNNNNNNNNCCCCCGCCCCUCCCCCGAUCAAGAGUCUUGAUGCAUUUGGGGCCCAAGCUGCAGCCAGAGCUGCGAAUAUCAUCUUUCUUUUGCUCGAGCUGGAUGAUCAUCAGGCAAUUGUGAUGUUACACAGGAAGAGAAGACACACAGACAUCUUUUGUUUUCUAGAAGGCGGUAUGGUUAUGUGCCCAGUGGGCUGUUAAUCUUUACUUAAUCCCUUUUCCCCACANNNNNNNNNNNNNNNNNNNNNNNNNNNNNNNNNNNNNNNNNNNNNNNNNNNNNNNNNNNNNNNNNNNNNNNNNNNNNNNNNNNNNNNNNNNNNNNNNNNNNNNNNNNNNNNNNNNNNNNNNNNNNNNNNNNNNNNNNNNNNNNNNNNNNGGCAGAAGAAGCCAGGAGAAGGGCAAGGCCAGAGAAGGGCUCUCCCGAGAAGUGCUGCAGGCCUUCAAGGUCCAGCUGUGAGAUGAGGAAUGCACCUGUGCAUUCACACCGCAGGAGCACGACUGAUCCCCUUGCAGUCACUGUUAAAGAGUAAUAUGAAGCAACCGUCACAGUCUACCNNNNNNNNNNNNNNNNNNNNNNNNNNNNNNNNNNNNNNNNNNNNNNNNNNNNNNNNNNNNNNNNNNNNNNNNNGGGCGUGUGUGUGCCUGAGAUGUAACAUAAGAGGACUUACUCUCCACUCUGCAGGAACGGGGCCCAGAGAGCUUGAGUGACUUCUCGGGUGCACAGCACAGGUGGCCAGCCUGCAUCCAGGGCUCUCUGUUCAUGACACCAAGAACCAGGAACUUGCCAGCUUCUGACCCUCUCUGAUGAGUUUAUUCAUUCUGAAGACAGUUUUUUUCUGUUCCUCAGAACCAUCCGGUUGAGGUAAUUUGGUGACCAGCCACCCCAGUUUGCUCAGGACUGAGUGGUUUCCUGGGCUGGGGAUUUCCAGUUCUAAAACUGGGAAUGCCCUGGGCAAAUUACGAUGAGUUGAUCACCCUAUGUAAGGCCUUCCAUUGACACACAGUCACCUGUCCAGAGGGGACUUCGUUAGGGGUUGGGGGCGUGAGGGGGAGGCAUGGUUGUUUCUGGGCUUCUCCAGUGUCCCAUCAAUGCCCAUUUGGGCAAAUAGAGCCCCUGUAAGUUAAAAAAAUUUUUUUCUUAAUGUUUAUUUAUUAUUGAGACAGAGAGAGACAGAGACAGAGCAUGAGUGGGGGAGGGGUAGAAAGAGACACAGAAUUGGAAGCAGGCUCCGGGCUCUGAGCUGUCAGAACAGAGCCCGACAGGGGGUUCGAACCCUCGAACUGUGUGAUCAUGGCCUGAGCUGGAGUCAGACGCUCAACUGACUGAACCACCCAGGCACCCGAGUCCCUGUAAGUUUUUAGAACAGAGGGAAUAAAAGGCAGGGUGUUGGGAGGGGGAAACUGAGAAGCCAAAUAGAGGCCAUUAAACAACUCAGAGGUUAGUAAUGACGGGCCCUGUGAGCACCUCCUGGCUGCCAGGACAAAGGACCCAGAGACAGAGGUCAUCGGCAAAAAACUGGAGCCAUGGAAGACCUGGCCACUGGUGGAGGCAGUGCUGCUGAACAGACGGAAGGAAAUGCAUAGGCUUGUGCCUAUCUCUCGCCCUCUGGUCUCCUCCCGGGAGUUUCUCCUCUUCUUUGGAAGGCCGGGGGUGGGGACUGGAAGCUAACGCCUGGCUCACCAGCUGGGCUGGAGAGCUUUCUAGUGUCCGGGUUUCCUGACCUGGGAAGAGAGAGGACUUCUUCACAUGUCGGUUUCACUGCUGACACACGAGUUUGGAAUCAAUCCCCCGUGACAAUCAGCACUUCGAUCAAAGAAGCUCAGAAUCAUCAGACACUUAAGCUGAAAGGCAUCUCCAAGAUCAUCCACUCGGAAGGGGACCAGAAGCCCGGACUGCUGACGGAUGGAUGGUGGUGCCAGUGUCAGGACCAGAAUGGGUCCUUCUGGGGGCGCCUGGGUGGUGCGGUUGGUUAAGCAUCUGACUCUUGAUUUGGGUUCAGGUCAUGAUCUCACGGUAGUGAGAUUGAGCCCCUCGUCGGGCUCAGUGCCAAAUCUGGCGCCUGCUUGGGAUUCUCUCUUUUUUCCUGUCUCUCCGCCUCUCCCCACCCUCUCAAAAUAAAUAAGCUUAAAAAAAAAAAAAAAGGGGGGGUCCUUCUUCUGCUCAGGCCAAGACAGCUUCCACCAUAGGCGGCCUGUGCCCCCAGGCCCGCAGGGCCAGGAGGCCGUGGGCUGAUGGAGUGAGCCAGACCGUGGCGACCUUCCACUGGCGACCGUGGGGACAUCAGUGGACAUCAGCGUGAGAGGCCUGCCAAAGGAGAUUCAUGGCUGUCCCUGCAAGUGCUUGUUGCAAGAGAAAGAAAGCUUUUUCAGGAAAACAAAUAUGGCUGCAUGUUCUGAUUCCGCCUUUAUCCAGAAUGACGACAGGACAGAACACCGAAAAAUUCAGUGCUUUGAUUUCAUGGGAUGGUGGGAUUGGGAGUUUAAAUACAAAUUUAAACACCAUUUGUCUAUUUCGCUGUCCAAUAACAUUACGUUGCUUUAACAAACUGUGUAUAGAUAUAAUACACAUGAUAUGUGGGUUUAUUCGACAAAUAUUUGCUGUGUUCCUACCAUUCAGUCAUUCCGUGAAUGUUUAUUUGAUGCUUAAUAUUGAGCGAGGCAGGCACGGCUGGCUUUCUCUCCAAGCUUGCCAUCUGUGUCCCAGGAACUGGAGUUGGGCACGGCAUCUCCCUCUGCCUUCGUCCUCUCCCCACCCCCUUCUUUGAUUCCCAAGCCCCCCCAGUCUGAGAGGUACGAGCUAUGCUGCGAACAGUGAUGAUGGUGACCUCUUCUGCUUUUGCCUGUCCAUACUCUUGCAUAAUCUCCAACCCCUUUGCAAAGCUCACCUCCAGUUGUUUAUUUAUUCACUGCAACAAGAGGAACUUAUUUUAUUCCUCGUUAGCUGAAUUUAAUUCCCAUUUUUUAAGGCUGAUUUAUUUAGAGAGAGAGACCACGCGAGCAGGUGAGGGGCAGAGAGAGAGGGAGAGAGACACUCCCAUGCAGGCUCCUUGCUGUCAGUGCAGAGCCAGAUGCUGGGCUCAAUCCCACAAACCGUGAGAUCAUGACCUGAGCAGAGAUCAAGAGUUGGACCCUCAACCGAUUGAGCCACUCAGGCAUCCCUUAACUCCUAUUUUGAAUCCCCACCUUUCCAUGUUAUUUUAGGGUUCCCAUGUUUCCCCUGGGGUUAUACAUGCUCCAGGGGCUUUGAUGUGCCAAGAUAUGUGGGGGGGGGGCAUCCGAUUCCUCGUGAUAUCCAUGGAGAUUCUGUGGUUGAUGGUCCACAUGGGUUGCUAAGCAUCUCUCUCCCGCUGGGCGCUCUGUGCAGACCAUCACUGUGUGUUUCCUGUCCACAUUCAGGUGCACAGGAUCCCACUACUGCUUCUGCUCCAUGGUGGGGGCCAAAGGCACCUUCACGCAGCAGUUUUUCCUCCUCUGGGGUCUGGGUUCCCGCUGGGUGCUAUCCAUUUGUAACCGAUCUAUGUUUCUCUCCAAAACACACGCAGCUGCUCCCCUCCCCCUGCAGCUGCCACUCUGUGCCCUGCCUUCGUCAUCUCCCACUUUCAUGAAUGCACACACUUUUUUUCCCCCCCUUUGGGUGGAGUUUUCUUCACUGAUUACUGGGAGAUUAGGUGAUUAGGAACAAUGUUGAAUAAACAGAUCCCCGAGGUUUCCCACCCUGGGGCACAGUGGACGGUGUCACGAGAGCGUCACCCUUGUUGCAAACCAGCACCUGCAACUGCAGAUGUCCCCGUGACUUUUGGUUUUUCGCUCCGAUCUGGAAACCCAGUUUGCCUUCACCGCACUUUACCAGAAUAUAUUCCUCCUCUCCUGGUCCGUCACCGCGUGGACCUCGCUGGUUCAGCUCCGGCUGCCCUGGAGGAUGGCUUCUUGCAUGAUCUCCUUGAGAUCUGCCCAAGGCUCCUCCAAGUCUGUUGCUCAUGUGUGAGGGAGCCUGGGCUUAGGUGGCUCCAAAUUCGCUUCUGACGUGAUGAAAAUCCAGCCACUUUUUCACGUGAAGAUAUUCAUCUUUCUUCAAUUCUCAUUCCUUCUUGCACCUCUUCCGUCUGGGUUAUUCUACUUUUGCUUGUUGAUACCGAUCUGCCGGUGGUGAAUGCUCUUGCUUUUUGUUUGUUUUCAUGUCCCCAAAUAUCCAUGCUUCACUGUCAUUUUUGAAGGACAUUGUCCAUGGAUAGAGGAUCUAUGGUUUUCUUUCGGCAGACUGAGCAUUACACAAAUGUCUGGCUUCCAUUGUGGCUUUGGAGAAGUCGGUUGACUGAGUCUACAGCUUCUUCAAAAGCACUUUCUUUAUUUCUCAGACUUUCUUUCCCUCCUUCCCUCCCUCCCCGCUUCCUUCCCUCCUUUCCUAGCUCCCUUCCUCCCUCUUUUGUUUUCUUCCUUCCUUUCUUUCUUUUCUUUCUUUCUUUCUUUCUUUCUCUUUCUUUCUUUCUUUCUUUCUCUUCCUUCCUUCCCUCCCUCCCUCUCUGCUUUCCUUCCUUCCUUCCCUCCUUCUUUCCUUCCUUCCUUCCUCUUUUCUGAAAAUAAGGAUUUCUUUUUCAUUGUCUUGCUUGGUUGGGAUUAAUUGGUCUUCUUGAUUCUAUGGAUUCUUGAGUGUCUCUCAUCAGUUCUGGAAAAUUAUACAUCGUUAUAUAUUCAAUAUUUUUUCUGUGACUUUCUGUUUUUUUAUGCCUUCUGAUACUUCAAUUAAAUGUAUGUUAGGUUUAUUCACUGUAUAUUCUAUGACCCCCUCUUCUGUCUUUUUAAUCUUUUUGUCUCCCCAUACUAAAAACCUUGAUAACUUCUUCUGCUUUACUUUCAGCAUACAAACUCUCCUCAGCUAUGUCUAACACGCGGUCAAACUACCCACUGGGUCUUUAAUUUUAACUAAUGCAUUUUUCACAUCUAGACGUGCUUCUGAGCUCUUUUUAAUAUCAAUUGUGACCCUUUCAAUAAAUUUCCUUGCAGAAAUUUUCAAGCUUUUUGAUUAUUUCUUUGAAUAUCGUAGCCAGAAUUGUUUUGGUCUAUAUCUAGUAAUUCAAAUAUCUAAAAUCUUUGUGGGUAUUUCUUUUGUUUCUUGGCUCACACUCAUGAUAUCAUGUUUUCUUGUAUGUCUGGUUGUAUCUAAAUAGUGCCAGCUCUAGUUAUCUCUGGGCAUGCCCAGAGAGCACACCACAUGGGUUCAUGAACAUGGCCUUUCCACAGUGAUCCACUCGGGUCUUCUUCUCCUGUCCUGAUAGCCUUUAGUCACACUCAAGGAAUGGCCUCUGUUAUCUACAGAACUGUGUGAAAUCAUCUCAUUUGUGUGUUUGUUGUGCCAAAACACUAAGGAGUCCUCAGAAGGCCAGAAUGAUUCUGGAUCCUCUGAGGCUCUCAGAAAACUGAGGUCAUCUCAGUGGUGGCGGCGGCGAUGGGCCCCUAAGCUGCUCCGACCAGUGUUUUAUAUUUGGGAUGAAAACAGUUCCUUUUAUUUUCACUUGUAGUUCGGGUGGCUUUAUCCCAUUGGGAUAAAUUCUGGUCACAAGGAGCAGAGUAGACUGUAAAUAUAAAGUUUUCUAUUUUAUAUACAUGUAAAUAUGUUUAUAUUUUAUAAUAUAAAACACCUUUGAUGAUAGGAGUGAUUUAUUUUUUGAGGGGGUGGCCAAGCUUGUUGGCCUAACUCUCUCUUUGUUUCAGGCACUCACCUGAGCUGCUUGGUCCGCGCAAAUUAGCUUGUGGGGACUUACGUCGUUCUCUGCCAGGUGUACUCAGACAUACAAGGACGGGGGAGAGCCACAGCUUGUCUUUCUAAAUCACCAGGAACCUGCUACACACACACACACACACACACACACACACACUCACCUAUUUUUGGCCUACGUGCCUUUAGGCUCUUUUUCAGGAAAGCACAUGAAUUCUCUCGAGUCCCCAGGUUUCACUUGGUAACUUUCCUACAGCACCCGCCGAAAGUCCCUGGUGCCCCCGUGCCAACCCCCGAGCAUGGGGUGCCCAGGCCUGCCUUCUCUGCUUCCUGCUUCACUUCAGUGGCCCCUGAGUCAGCUUGUGGGGAAGGGCUCCGAGUCACCCACGGCACCCUUCCCAACCCUGGGCACUUUAUGUCCCAACCCCGGGAACUGCUCCCAGAAAAGUUUCAUUCUCUGUGCCCUUCCCUUGAGACCCGGGCUCGGCCUUCCUGAAGAUGGAGAUUAUCCACUUUAUUGACAGGAUGGGACUCCAUCAUUCUAAUAUCAUCUGAAUGCCUGAGGGAUUACAUCUUACGCCCUUGUGAGAAACACAGCCUCUUGUCAUGAUGUUGCUGUGAAUAAUGCAGUUUUGAGUUGAAGUUCCGUAUUCCAAGAACCAGUAAAUUUCCUUAGUCUUCUGUAUUCCCUCCCCUCCCCUGUUAAAUUUGGGUUUAGCAAGUCAUGAAUCAUUGUGGUUUUACUCCUGGGUAGAAGGGGCUAUUUUUUUUUUUUCGCCGUUAUUUCAUUACCAACUGAUGAGAGAAUUAAAAAGGAAUCUGAUUAAUUAAAAGCUUGACGUGGACUUAAAAUCUCAAAAAGCUUGAAGACAGGAUGAACUACAACUAUUCAAAUUUGCUAGAAUGCUCAAGUAGGAAGGGACCUGUGGGACACCAGCCUGGUCCUUUUAUAGGACCAGAAAAAAAUAUCUGAGGCCCAGAGAGGGAAAGUGGUUUGCCUGAGGUCACACAGCAGGCAAUUGGUGGACUGGUGCUAGAGUCCAGGUGUCCUGACCCCAGACCAGCAGCCGUACUCAUGGUUGGAGAAAAUGGAAGAACAGCUUGUGUUUCUUUUCUCUUUUCUUUUCUUUUUCUUUUUUUUUUUUUUUUCCAUUUAUUUAUUUUUGAGAGGCAGAGAGAGACAGAACACGAGCAGGGGUGGGGCAGAGAGAGGGAAACACAGAAUCUGAAGCAGGCUCCCCCGAUGCGGGACUGAAACUCACAAGCUGCCAGAUCAUGACCUGAGCCGAAGUCGGACACAACGGACUGAGCCACCCAGGCGCCCCUGCGUUUCCAUUUUUGUAUCUACCAGGACAAAGAUCUUUACUCUGCGAACAUCUGGCAUUGCGUAUUUCGUAAUUAUUUCCGCUAAGAACUCACAGGAUCUUUUUUUUUUUUUAUUUUUUAUUUAUUUAUUUAUUUAUUUUUAUUUUUUUUUUCAACGUUUAUUUAUUUUUGGGACAGAGAGAGACAGAGCAUGAAUGGGGGAGGGGCAGAGAGAGAGGGAGACACAGAAUCUGAAACAGGCUCCAGGCUCUGAGCCAUCAGCCCAGAGCCCGACGCGGGGCUCGAACUCACAGACCGCGAGAUCGUGACCUGGCUGAAGUCGGACGCUUAACCGAAGAACUCACAGGAUCUUGCAUAUAGGAUUCCAUUAUUUGCCAUCUCAGUCUUUGAGGCAUCUGAAGGGAUCCCAUCGUCCAGGGAGGAAAUGGGAUGUAUUGGGCAGAAAGUAGGUGACUCAAGGCUCCUGGGGACCCUGCCCUCAUCUUCUGGUGCAUUGCAAGGCUCACAUUCGUUCUUUCAAGUCAUUCCACAGACACCGUAUUUACUGGGCACCUACUAUGUGCCAAGAGUUGGAGAUAGAGUGGUGAGCGAAGCUGGAAAAGCCCCUGCCUUCACAAAGGGGAGAGAAACAAUAGACAAGCAAACAAUAGCACUUGUAAUAGAACCGGCACGUGUGGGAAGAGCCACAAAGAAAAAUAAAAUGAAAGAGGUUGCUAUUUUAGAAAGGGUAGUUAGGGGAGGUCUCCCUCCGCAGAGGUCUGUGGCAGUUGGUGGGUAAGCCCUGAGCACAUCUGGAGGAAGAACAUUCCAGGUAGAAGGACCCGUGUCAGCUGGAAGGCCGGAAGCAUUAGAGCGGAGGGAGGAGGGGGGCAGGGCGGUAGGGAAUGAGGUCAGAGGUGGGGUUGGGCCAGGUCAAGUUGGUGAGCAGAGAACGCGGGAGAGGUUGGAUCUGAAACACGAAUAACAUAAAACUUACCAUCUUAACCGUUAAAAAAAUUUUUUUUAAUAUGUAUUUAUUUUUGAGAGACAGAGAGAAACAGAGCAUGAGAAGGGGAGGGGCAGAGAGUAAAGGAGACACAGAAUCAGAAGCAGGCUCCAGGCUCUGAGCUGUCAGCACAGAGCCCCAUGUGGGGCUUGAACCCAUGAAGCACAAGAUCAUGACCUGAGCCGAAGUCAAAUGCUUAACCGAUUGAGCCACCCACGGGCCCCAGUUCAGUAGGACAUUCACAUUGUUGUGCAACCAAUCUCCAUAACUCUUUUGAUCUUACAAAAGUAGAACUCUGUCCCCAUGAAACAGCACCUCCCUACCCACCUCCCCCAACCCCAGCCCCUGGGGACCAGCAUUCUACUUUCUGUCUCCACGGAUUUGACCCCUCUAGAGUCACGUACCUCAGAUGUGUGAAAUCGUUCUGUAUUUUCCUUCGGUGUCUGGCUUUCCCCGCCCCCCCCCUUAGCAUAAUAUCCUCAAGAUCCAUCUAUGUUGUAGCAAGUUUCCAAAUUUCCUUCCUUCUUAAGGCUGAGUAACGUUUCACCGUAUGUGUUCACCACAUUUCGCUUAUCCCUUUAUCUGUUGAGGGACACUUAGAUCGUUACUUCAUCUCUCGGCUAGAAUGAAAAACACUCCUGUGAACAUGGCGUGCAAAUAUAUCUUUGAGAUCCUGCUUUAAGUCUUUUGGUAUGUACCCAGAAGUAGAGUUGCUGGAUCAUACAUUAAUUCUUUAAAAAAAUUUUUUUUGAGAAACCACCGUACUGCUUUCCAUCGUUGCUGCGACAGUUUGCAUUCCCCGCCAGCCAUGCGCCAGGGUUCCAAUGACCUCACAUGCUUUCCAGCCCUUGUCAUUUCCUGAUUUGUGUGGUAGUAGCCAUCCUGAGUUUUGGGUGUGAGGUGGUUUCUCAUGUGGCUUCGAUUUGCAGGUGUUGGAUUUUAUUCGAAGAAUGGGAGGGAGCACCCAUGGGGGUGGGGUCUCGGAAGGAUCCCAUUGGUGGCCCUUGUGGAGAACAGAUGGUGAGAGACCCCGAGAUGCAUUGGGAGGGGCUGGUCACUUGGAUGAGGAUGAGAGCAGAGGAGGUAGGGAGUUGUCAGGUCUGGCUGUAUUUUGCAGGUAGAGUUGACAGGUUUUGAAAAUGGAUUGGAUGUGAAGUUUGAGAGAAAGAGAGGCGUCUAGGAUGACUACAGAGUUUUGGCCUGAUAACGGUGACUCCAUUAACUGAGAUGGGGACCGGUGGAAGGGGAUUGGUUUCACCUAGGGAAGGGAAAUCAAAACUUGUAUUCAAAGUAUGUCACAUUUGUAAAGCUACACGUUAGAGAUUCAAGUGGACGUAGGUUGAGGUAUCUGAAGUUCAGAGGGAGAGAAGGCUAGGCUGGAGAUGGGGAUUCAGGGGUCCUUUUGUGUACUCGGUGCGUUCAGCCGUGGGGACCCAAUGAGGUUGCUGAAGGACAGGGUAGCAAACUAUGGCCCCUGGGCCAAAUCUAGCCUUCUGCUUGGUUUUGUACCUAGUUUUCAUUUUGGGGCAGAAAAAGAAUAGUUUUUCACAUUUUUGAAUGUUGGAAUUUCUUUUAUGUUUAUUUAUUUUUGAGAGAAAGGUAGAGACAGAGCAUGAGCGGGGGAGGGGCAGAAAGAGAGGGAGACACAGAAUCCGAAGCAGGCUCCAGGCUCCCAGCUGUCAGCGCAGAGCCCCAUGUGGGGCUCGAACCCACAAACGGUGAGAUCAUGACCUGACCUAGCCGAAGUCAGACACUUAAGGGACUGAGCCACCCAGACGCCCCUGGAAAAUUUUUUUAAAGAAUGUUUUGGGGGCUCCUGAGUGGCUCAGUCGGUUAAACAUCCAACUCUUGAUUUCGGCUCAGGUCAUGAUCUCACGGUUCGUGAGUUCAAGCCCCGUGUCGGGCUCUGCACUGACAGUGUGGAUUGUGCUUGGGAUUCUCUCUCUCCCUCUCUCUUUCUCUGUCCCUGCCCCCCCUCUCAAAAUAGAUAAAUAAACACUUAAAAAAUAAUGUUUUGUGAUAUGCAAAUGCAUGACAAUGCAUGCAAAUGAUAUGAAAAUUCAAAUUUCAGUGUCCACAGAUGAGGUUUUAUAAGAACCCAGCCAUGCUCAUUCUUUUACAUAUUGUCUAUGGCUGCUUUCCUGUCCUAAGCACCGAGGAAGGGACGGAAGAGAGAGAAGAGGUGCCAGGAUUGAGGCCUGGGCAGGGCCUGUCGAAGAUGGUGCCCGCUCCGUGAGCAACCAGGUGCAGGGACCCAGCAGACCGGCUUGCCUCCCGUCCCCAGGCCAGCUUAGCACCUUGUGGAUGGUGAAGCCAGGGGGACCCAUAGCAGGCACAUCCAUUAGAUGGAGCCGUGUAAACCAGAGGACGUUCAAUCAUAUUUUCCUUACCGUGUUAAUUUCCUGGGGCUGCUAUAACAAAUGACUACCGACUGGGGGUCGAACAAUGGCUAUUUAUUCUCUCAUUGUUCUGGAGGAUGUAAGUCUAAAGUCAGCAGGGCCAUGGUCCAGACAAAGGCUCUAGGGAAGGAUCUUUUUCUGCUUCUUCCCAGUUUCCGAUGGCUGGCUGCAGUCUUUGGCGUCCUACUGCUUGUUACCUGCAUCACUCUAGCCUCGGCCUCUGUCUGCCCAUGCCUUCUUCCUGUGUCUAAAUUUCCUUCCUCUUCUAAGGACCCCAGUCACUGGACGAGGGCCCACCCUAAUCCAGUAUGACCCCAUUUUAACUUGAUGGCAUUUGCACAGACCCUGUUUCCAAAUCACCUGUCACAUUCACGGCUUCAGGGGUUAAGACUCGAAUGUGUUCUUAGGGGAGACAAAAUUCUGUCCGCACACUGGCACACACAGAUAUCACCUGGUUCAAUCUAAGAGCGCUUAGGCCCUUGGGUUGUUUUUGGUUUUGUUUUUAUAAUUUUUUAAAAAUAUGUAUUUUUGAGAGAGACAGCGAGAGCGAGUGGGGGAGGGGCAGAGAGAGCGAGACAUAUGAUCUGAAGCGGGCUCUGCGUUGGACACUUAAGCAACUGAGCCACCCAGGUGCCCCGAGGUUUUCUUUGAGAGGACACAUCCAAGUGACUAUGCUUAGGGAAAGAAAAAAGAAAAAAAUCCCCAGUAUUGGUUUUAAGACCCUGAGCUGUACUUUCUUUCCUAGCACUCCCCCACUGCCUGUGAGCCUGCCGGCUCCCGCCCCAUGGGCAGAUUUGGAGAUAGAGAAACACCAGUUCCUCUGACGUCACCACUGAGCUCAGGCAACUGGGCUGUGAGCUUGGGCAGAGGUUCUCUGCCCGGGAUUUGGAGGCACGGGGACUGAGAUGCCACGUCAGGAGGCUGUGCGACCUUUGACAAGUCAGCGCCCCUUGUUCCUCUGAGUCAGUUUCUUCUCCCAUAGGAGGGAAGGGUCAUGGUCCCAUCUCUUACAGGGUGCACGCGCGCAGACGCAGAGAACCCCCGGGGACUUGUACCUGGCAAGCUAAGGGAUUUUACUGGAUUGUGAUUCGGUGGGAGCUCCUGGGCACUGUCCUGCUUUGGCACCGGUCUCUCCAGAGUGGAGCCUGAAAACGUGAUGCUGUUUCCCGGCGAGGCAAGUCUGACAUCACAUCAUGACUCACCGCUCGAAACGUGCCAUUUAAUCUGUUGUGGAUCAAAUUUUGUGAAUUUGGAAAGUGGCUGGAUAACUUUUCUUCGUGUCUCUCUCUUUUUUUUUUUUUCUGUUCCUGCUUGUGGUGAAAUACACACAAUAUGAACUUCAUUGUUGUGAGCAUUUCAAAGUGGAUAAUUCAGGGGCAUGAAGUACAUGCUGAACGUGGACUUAAUUUUUCAGAAUUUGUUAUCACCCCUAACAGAAGUGCGACACCCAUCAGGCAGCAGUCACUCACCACUGCUAUCACCCACAGCCUCGGGCCACCACAGAUCUUUCUGUCUCUAUGGAUUUGUGGGUUCUGAACAUUACACAUAAAUGGAAUCCUACCCCAUGUGGCUUCUUCCACUUUGCGUAAUGAUUUCAAGGUUCGCUCAUAUCAUAUCGCCUAUCAGUCCUUCCCUCCUCUUUAUGGCCAAACAAUAUUCCAUUGUGUGGAUCCACCACAUUGUAUUUAUCUAUUCACUUGUUGAUAGACCUGUGGGUUCUUUCACCUUUUGGCUGUUGUGAACGGUGCUUCCAUGAACAAUCCCGUAUAAAUUUUUGUUCAAACACCUGCUUUCGUGUCUUUUGGGUAUAAGCCCCGUGGUGGAAUUGCCGGGUUCAACUCUGGGUUGAACUUGAUGAACUGCCAAACCAUUUUCCACAGCCGCUGCACCUGUUUGCAGCCCCAGCAGCAGUGUGUGAGGCUUUCGCUUUCUCCCGAACAAUGUUGUUGCACUUGGUUUAUUAGAUGCAAUAACCCCUCCUGGGUCAGGUCUGGGGCGGCCUGGGCCAGCCGGCUGCUUGCUCUCUGUCGUUUUUGCUGUGGCCAGAGACCCUGGGAGCAGGCAGCAGCCCACCCGCUCUGAUUCCCUCCGAGUGGAUCGCUCCGGUGGGUCACUCACGGCCACUUAUUCAGGAAGGUCUUCCAGAACCAUAGGGCUGACCCUGGCAGUGAGGACACUGGGUGCAGCUGUCCAGACCCUCUGGGGCAGUCACGGGAGCAGAGGAUGACAGUGGUGACAGUCCCCAUGUUUCCUGGACUUUGACCUGAAUCAAGUGUCCUUUUCCACUGCCUCCUGCCUGGCUCUGCUGGCCGAGAAGUCAAGUUGAGGAGUCAGUUGGGGCUCUGUUUGCUCCCACCCACAUCUUCUGGCGAUUCUGUACUCUGCUGUGAUGGGCCUGCUGGUCCCUCUGGGUUGGAUUUUCUCUUGUCCUGGACACCCUCCUCCCUGUCCCCCACCCCAACCCCCCGCCACCCUGCUCUAGCUGUGCACGGUGCGCUCUUACAGCCCUUUGGUUUUUGUUUUCGUUUUAAAACAAAAUUUUUUAAAGCUUAUUCAGAGAGAGAGAGAGCACGAGCAGGGGAGGGACAGAGAGAGAGGCAGACAGAGAAUCCCAAGCAGGCUGCACACUGGUCAGUGCGGAGCCGGAGGCGGGGCUUGAACUCAUGAACUGCGAGAUCAUGACCUGAGCCAAAAUCGAGAGUCGGAUGCUUAACCCAGUGAGCAACCCAGGUGCCCCAGAGCUCUUUGGUUUUUAAGGAACAUUCCACCGUACCUUAGAAAAGAAGAGGCAUCCCAGUUUAUAGUCAGACAAUCGGCCGUGAGUUCAUAACUUACAUGUUACCCGCAGUAACUCAUUUAUAUGCAAACAACUGGAUCGAAUUAUCUAAGUAAAUAUAUCAUUUAUUCUCAGGGUUCUAGAGUUCUGGGGAGAAUGUGAGGUCAAAGGAUCCCUCAGUCUGCUGGUUGACCUUGGGCCCUCAGCGGCAUUUCCUCUCCUCUUGCCCAGUUGAACUGCACUUCUAGAUGUAGUUAUGAGAAAGUUGGUGAGAAUUUGUACCUGGAUGCCUCCUUAACAUGGCAGCGUUUUUCUCCCCGGGGAAGAGUGGAGCACCCCCCACCCCGCCCCCAUCACAGUUGCCUUGGAGACAAAACAGCCCCCUGCCCUUCCUGGUGGGAUGUCCUUUGAGAACACCAUCCAUUCUGGAAGUGGAGGCCUGGCCCACAGCACCUUUGGGACUGGGGGCCUGCCUCAGGGGGAGGCUGAGGAGACAGUGACGCAUGACAAGCAUCAUCUGGGACUGGGGAAUGUGGCGGGAGCGUGUUUCUGGUGCCCGGAUGCGUUCUGCUUUGGGUUUGUCGUUCUUCAUGAGCUAUUUCAGGAAAUGAUGUUUUCAAAAACAAAGUUGUCCCUGGCCCAGCGGCACCGGGUCAUUCCAUGCAAACAGUCCCCAUGGGCCGAGGGAAGGCCCAAAAUAUGCAGGUGCAUGAACGAUACCACUUGGCACGUGAGGCUGCAUAAUGUUUGCGGGCCUUUGCCUAGAAGUUCUGGUGCGAGCGUGGCUGUCUGCUCAGGAGGCAGCCGCCAGGCCUGGCUUUUGGCCUUUGCGUCACCGCUAGGGUCUGUGCUGAGCUCAAGAAUCCGAAGGCAAAGGACACAUUGCUAGUGCCACUCGGAUCCCCCAAAUGUGUGCACGUCAUUUUUGUGUCAAUUCUGUUUCCAUCUCUGAGGCCCUGUUCUGGGCUCGGCAGGGACUCCACACAGUAUUUUUUAUUUAAAGAAAUUAAUCUGGGGAAGGGAAGCGGCAUAAAUAGAGGAAGGGUCAGUGUAAUACUCGGUUUUUACUUUUUGUGCGUGUGGUCCUGUCUCACCAGCUUUUGUUUUCAGCCAACGAAGACGAUAGAUGGCUGUUUUUUGCUGCGUGGUGCAGAACUGAACUGCUUGCUAAGGAAAUGUCAGCUCACCUCAACCUCAAGGUUGACAUUCGGCAUUGGGGUUUAGGGGCAGGAGGAAGAGGCAAAGGGAAUGGAGGGGAACUUCGGAAGGACUGACAUUUUUUUCCUUCUCUCUCCUUAGUUCUCUGCUCUAGGCCAACGGGAAGGCAAAUAAAAGGAGUCUGCCUUGAUGGGCCCUGGGGGCAGGGCAGGUAGGGCCAAGUGACUUGAAGGGAAACCUCUGGUCUCUGCGUUGGCCCGGGGCCACAAGCCCCCUCCGCUGCUCCGGAUCCUGCCCCUGACACACACAGCAUGUCCUCUCCGCAUGUCACACACAUGCACACAUCCCAUACACAAACCACACACACACACACACACACACACACACUGUCACACACACACCCCACAUACCCUGUGUGGUUGUGCAGGGAGUUCUUCAGAAAAGCUCACAUUCCUGGAAGAACAGACUGGAUAUGUGUUUCCCAGGGUUCCCCUCACGCAGUCACCAGUUACAUUUCUGGCAAACACGGUGAACCCUAGAGUAGGAUUUACAAGCUGCAUCAGUUUGCUAGGGCUCUGUAACAAACUGAGUGGCUAAAACAACAGAAGUUGAUCAUCUCAGCUCCAGGGGCCAGAGAUCUGAGGUCAGGGCGUCAGCAGGUAGGUUCCUUCUGAGGCUGUGAGGGAGCGUCUGCUCCCGGCCUCUCCUCUGGCUUCUGGUGGUUUGCCGGCCAUCCUUGGAGUCCCUUGGCUUGUAGACACAGCACCCCAGUCUCUGCCCUCGUCGUCACAUGCCUUGCUCCCAGUGUGCAUGUCUGUGUCCAAACUUCCCCUUUUUAUGAGGACACAAGUCAUAUUGGAUUAGGGCCCGCCCUACCCGAGGGUGACUUCAUCCUAACCAACUACAUCUGCAAUGACCCUAUUUCCAAACAAGGCCACAUUCUGAGGUCCUGGGGGUUAGAAACUCCAGCACAUGAAGUUGGGGGGACACCAUUCAACCUGGAACAGCAGGCUUACGGGUGCUUACCUGCUGAGUAGGGCUCACUGCUCUCUGGGGCUUUGGACUCUAGAAUCAAGACUUAGUUUGGGCUUUUGGACUACAUGCCUUGGGGACCAAACAAAAUGCCUAGGAUUUUGAGCAGGUUAGAUGCUCAUCAUUAUGAGCAAUGCAAAGACAAGCAAAAACCUGUGUGUCCCUGGGUCCUCAAGAAAUGUAUAGCCUGGUCAUAACCAAACUUGACAGUCGCCCAAGGCAUCGUAGCUGGCAGAGCUUUGCUAUGCUUAUUAUCCGUUCAAAGCCUCACAACUAACAACCUUGAGAGGCAGGUCUGGCAAGAGCUCUUAUCCCUACAUCCAAUAAGAAGUAACUUGUGCAAAUAUCAUGCUAUUAGUUGGAAUCAGAAGUUGGGUCGUCAGAAGACGCUGUGCUUGGCUCUCUGAGGAGGUGGGGCCAGACAUAUGGGGGUGAAGAUGUUCAUGGGGUUCACUUUUGGGGGACCCAGAAAGACUUCAUGAAGGAUGUGGCAUCUGAGAAAGGCCUUAGCUAAAACCCAAGGGAGAAUUAGAAGGUUUCGAAUUGUAGGUGACGAUUAUGUGCAAAGGGCUGUUAACUAGAAGGGUCUCUGAGCCCAGGGUGCACCCAAGCUGCACAGCCCUUGGGUGACAUGGUUUCCUCACCAGAUCUAUAUCACCUGUCACCACAGUCUGAAUGUUUGUGCUGCCCCCACAUUCAUAUGUUCAAAUGCUAUUGGCCAAUUUGACGGCAUUGGGAGGCGGGGCCUUAGCCAGGUGAUUAGGUCACGAGGAUGGGGCCUUCAUGAAUGGGAUUAGUGCCCUUACAUGAGAGACCCCUGUGAGCUCCCUUGCCCUUUCCACUGAGAAGUCUGCAGCCCACCAGAGAGCCCUCGCCUGACCAUGCUCACACCCUGAUCUUGGCCUCCAUCCUCCAUAACUGUGAGAAAAAAGCUUCUGUUGGUCUGUUGUUGAUGAGCCACCCAGUCUGGUAUUUUGUCACGCUAGCCCAGAUGGAUUAAGGCACCCAUUGUCACCUGUGUCCUACUCAUUUUCUCCAGCUCCACGCCAUCUGUUCAAAAAUAGAAACGCUUACAGCUUUCUCUCCACUGGGGCUCAAGUCCAGCCCUUGAGACCAGGAGAACCAAUCGUCUACACCCUCCACCCUCAACAAAAUUCUCCCCACAGCCUUGGCACGUAUCGGUUAAUGCAACUUCCAUCUCUGAUGGAAGAGCUCGGUGCUGCUCCCCAUUGCUUCCCCAUGCCUCAUCUCGUCUGCUUCUGAGAAGAGCUUCCUUCUGGGCGGGGCAGAUCCUGCUGUUGCCAUUACAGAAUGGUGGCAAGGAGCCCGUGUGACUUGCCCACGGCCCCACAGUUGGCAAGCCUGAGUGAGACUGAGCUUUCCUGCAUUCAAGCUCGGGUCUCACUUCCCUGUGUGGUGUGGCCUCUGGGCGGAGGUAACUUCUCGAGAGAUUAUGCAUCCGAUGUCCUUGCAGAAGAAGCCUCCAUGGAGGCCGCUGGAUUUGCAGAAUGACAGAGAGAGGGCUGGCUCUGCAAAGAACAUGGGAAUUUCCAGGAGGAUAGGGAUCUGCAUUUCUCCCAGGAGUGAUUUCUCUGGGGGAGAAGGUGGUGCCUGCUGUUUAACCUCGGAUGAGACGGUUGUGUCUUGUAUUUAAAACCGAGAAGGGGCUCCUGGCCGGCUCAGUCGGUUAAGCGUCCAACUUCGGCUCAGGUCCUGAUCUCGUGGAUCGUGAGUUCGGGUCCCGCAUCGGGCUCUCCGCCCAGGGCAGAGCUUGCUUCGGAUCCUCUGUCUCCCUGUCUCUCUGCCUCUCCCCUCCACCCCACCUCAAAAGAUAAAUAAACAUAAAAAAACACAAACAAACCAAGAAGAACGAUAAGGCUUGUGGAAAUAAGCAAUUGCCUGAGCUGAGGGUUAGUCAUGGGGUCAUUUGUCAACUCUCCCCCGGACCGUUCCUUAAACAGGUUUAUUGUUUCUCCUGUUUAAAGCAAAACCCUUUUGGCAUCACUUCUUUCCAUGUAAGCACGGGCUUAGGUGGCAGGCAGAUGCUUCAGGUGGCCGAGGGGCCGGCGUGAUGACAGGUGGGCGUGUCUGCCACAUGACCUUUACAGGGGGAGCAAGACGGGGUCUGGCGCCAGCGGCCGCUGACCUCACCAUGACCUGGAGCUGAGAGCAUGGAGCCUGAGCCCACAGACCCCAAGUGAUCUGUGAGGAGCCGGGGACACACAGGCCGGCCAGCCAAGCAGGCUGAGAAGAGGUGCGGUCCUUCUCUCUGACACCUCCCCUGUGGCAGCAGGGGGACUUUGGACUUUGGAGCAUCACCCGGACCAGACACUAGGUCCAAGCGCCUGGGGUGUCGGACCCUGGGGAGCUGAAGGGCCUUGCUGACCCAGGCUGCGCACCAGGUGUUGUCCAUACACUGAGGCGCCUCCCAAGUUUCUCAAGGGCAAGUUUCAAGUACAUGUGAGUGUUGUGAUGAACGGAAAAACUAAUUUUGAUGUUUUAUUAGUAAAUCUUCAUUCAAUAGAUCCUCACGUACCGUAUGCUAACAUUUAACGUAUGCAGAAGAACCUGAGGAUAAAUGAAGUGAUUUGACCCUGUGGGGGGCUAAAUUGCGUUCCCUCUCCAAAUCCACAUGGGAAAGCCCUAACCCCCAGUAGCUCAGACUGUGACCGUAUUUGGAGACAGGGCCCUUAAAGAGGUGAUUCUGUUAAAAAUUAAGGCUGUAGUAGGCUUGAUUCGACCCAACUGGUGUCCUCGCCAAAAGAGGUGAUUAGAACACAGAGAGAGGCACAAAGAAUAUGAGGACAAGGCCAGAAUAUGGCCAACCAUCAGCCAAGGAGAGAGGCCUCAGAAGACUAUGUUGACACCUUGAUCUUGGGCCUCCAGCCUCCACAACCGUGAGAAGAUAAAUGUCCAUUGUUUAAGCUCCUGAGUCCGUGGUAUUUUGUUACGGCCGCCCAACAGGGCUUACAGAUAUUCAAAGGGAUUGUCCUACUUGGAAAGGUUGUUGAGCACUAUUUCUGCUUUGGGCCAUGUGUGGAGUUCAGGAGGCCCGUGUGGAGGCUGGAGAAGCUCACUGGUUGGUCAGCUUCUCUCCACCCCCAGGUAUCCAUGUGACAGACCUGGGCACUGACGCUCUGUGUUGAGAGGCUUGCUCCUAGCUGGAGUAUCCAUUGGGCUUUUGUGGCAAGCCAAGCUCACAGAGCUAAGCAGAAGGCAUCAGACAGGACAGAAGGAAGUGAAGACUGUAGCCAGAACCCCGGCCAAACACCGCGCACCCGGUCUGGACACGGGUCCUGCUGGCUCUGCCCUCCUUGUGGAUGUCUCAGUGGCUGCUGCUGGACGGCUUCUUGUGGGGCCUGCUUCUCACCAUCGCUGCCUCUGAGUCAGACCCUGGAUGGGCUGAGCCCAGGCCACGUGCUUGAGCCCUCACAGAAAGAUUGGCCAGGAAAAGGAAGUAGUCAGCAUUUUCAAAUUCGGCACUGGAACAUUCUAGAUGGCUCCCACGAGAUCCGUCUGUAAGAUGGAGCUUUCCCCACAUGCAGGGAUGCUGGGCAGCCAAGAUCAUCACAAAUGGCCUCUAAAAUUGGGAAGUCUGUGUGUGUGUGUGUGUGUGUGCGCCCGUGAGUACCUACAGACCGGGGCUGGAAAUGACCUCGGAGGAGCAGGUAGCUAAGAGAUUGAAUUUAGGAGUCAUACAGAUGGGUCUGAGUAUCAGCAACCUUAUUUGUUAACUCUCGAUCCUAACAAUACACGACCUGCUUGAGCUUCAGGUUUCUCAUCUAUAAAACGUGGGUGAUAAUGUCGACCUUGUAAAAUGAUAGGCAUCAGUAGUGGUAGUAGAAAUAUCAUGAUAGUCAUGUGACAAAUCUAUCCUGGACUCCGAGCCUAACUGCAAGGUCUGAUUAGACUGACCUUGCAGUUUUUCACCUGUCUCCCUGCCCACAGGUGGUCAAGUCAUCUUUUUCACCUGUGUCCUGACAGAUCCCCCCCCUCAGAACGCAGGUGCCUUAAAGAGGACGAACCUAAGCUCCAAGUGUAAGCUUUUUAUUGCUGUUUUAUCCUAUGUCAUGAUGGCCCUCUAGGGCUUGUUGGCUGUCCCCCAAGUCCUUUAUGGCUCUAACCUUCAGAAAAAGAAGUAGAAGGAGGAGGAAACGAAAAGCUAAGAUAAAAUAAAACAAUCGGGUUUCCCACUGGAAUUUGCAGGGAGGUGGAGUUUACGAGCGGGAGGGCUGGUGGGGUGGUUCAGUGGCUGGGUUUUUAUUAGCCACCAGGCCAGUUAUGAGGGGGUCACUGGAGUUUGUUGACAUGAAAUCAUUACAGGGUGGACAGUGAGGCACCGACUGACCCAAUGUGUGUGGAACCCUUUCAAAUGGGGUUUUUUAACCACAGUGCCUCGAUACCUUUUAUAGAAAGAUAUUGCUGCUGAUAGUGAUCCCGGGGCCACGUAACCAUCAAGGAAAUACUGGAUCCUGGUCAAUAGAUUUUUACCGUGAAGUGUAUUUCAUUGUGUUCUAAUUCUUGGAAACUGACAGACGGAUGAGCGAUGUAAACGGCAAUUCUCUAUCAACCACAAUGUUGAACGGAACAGAAUACUCUGUUCUUCCACCUACUCAAAUGGCUACCUGAUUAAUAGUAAUAACUAAUAGUUACCCAUAACAUUUGUACAGAAGACUCCUUUUUUUUUUUACCUAGGGUAAAAAUAAGUACAUAGUCAAUUUCUGGAUUGCAUCACAUUGGGAAGCAUUUACCUAAGCUCCAGACUGGUAUAUUUGUGCCAAAAUUCCUAAUCAAGAUAGGGUGAUGUGAUGAAUAGAUAUUUAUAGAAGGCGGCUUUCAUUCUGGCACCCACCUUGGGCUUCUUGAGCAGCAGGCCAAAGGAUGAUCAGGUCAUAUCUACUUUUGGGCAGGAAGCUCCUGAAAUCAUUGAUUUACUGAGAUGUGGGGUUGCGGGCCCUCUUGCUUCUUCUGUUAUGUUUGACUUAGUCAUGCCAUGGACAUGUGGAAGUAGGGGGAGAAGACAGUCUUUUGGGGACUGGAGAGAGCUGGGCAGAGGAGGUGGAUUUAGAGCAAUAAAGCUUGAAAGAUUGAUCCGCAUAGCCAACAGAUGUCCAUUGAGCAUCUGCCACGGGAUAUACAGCAGGGCACAGAAUGGACACCACCCCUGCCCUCAUGGUAGGUAUGUGGUUUUCAGGUCACUCCAGGCCACAAGAAGGAAAGUUGAGAAAGACGGAGGAGAGACUGAGUUGUGUCAAGUGGGCUUUUCUCAUUUGUACAUUUAUUCAAUUCGUCCAGCAUAUACUGAUCAUCCACCACGGGCGGGUUUUGUGCAAGGCACUGGGGAUACAGACAUGACCAACCGCCAUCUCCAGCACCUGGGGAGUUGGAAGGAGGUGCGGAUAUUCCAGGACAAUAUGUCUGAGUUCUGGCAGAGGCAGGCUUAGAGGAAGAAGAUGCACACCCUGCUAGAGAAGGUACAGGACAAUUCCUGGAAAGGGGAGAUGGUAGAGGUCUCCAUCUUGAAAGCUGAACGAGAACAUGCCAGAUGGCACAGGGAGGACAGGAGGCUUCCAGGAAGAGGGAAAGGAAGCCAUGAAUGGGGGAGGGGGCCCAAGUAGAAAGCUCUUAGGUGGGGGAGGGCAGAUGGUGGAGAGCCUUGAUGGGAAACCCGGUUUUAAUUUACAUCUGAGACAUGAUAGGGGCCACAGCCAGGUUUAGGGAGCGACUCAGUGAAAAUUACAUAUGAGGUUGAUGACGUCUAUGUGCUUGUUCGCGAUCAGGUCCUUAAACAGGGAAUGCCUGUUAGCAAAAUAAUUAAGGCCCUUAAGAGGCAGGACCGUAAUUUGUUGGAUUUUUGAAGACUUAGUGGUUGGAGAACAAUAGUUUAAUGAAAAUAUUGACUGAGUUUAGGACUGCCAAGAAAUUCGAGAGUCUACACCUCACUAAUAAAAGUGAAACGAAAACACAUUCUUUUUUGAAGAAAACUAACACUAAGGCAGUGAUGACUAUAAUUAAUCAGAAAUCCUUUGUCCACAGACCAUUCUGGCUGACAGCAAGAGAUUAAACAUUGCCCUAAUUGGGAAGGAAAUUAUUAAUGGCUGCUACUUACUUGUCGUGAUUUAUUGCCAGUCUCUGGGGAGGAGUUGGGGUUGGGGGGAGACACAGAGAGGUGCAGGUGCAAUGGCUUUGACGAGCAUGAGUGACACCCCGCCUUUCUCUUUUCUCUUCUCCCAUUGCCUUUUCCAAAGUGGACUGGAGAAACUGGACUCCACACCCAGGUGAGCUGAGGGAGGAGCAAGGAGCUGUGGGAGAUGGGACAAGAAGAGCAGUUCAAAUUCUUUAUGUGAAUUCUGUGUGUGUUGGUAUAGUUUUACCCCCGUUUUACCUUUUUACACCUUUUGAUUGAGUGAGCGUGGAGCCCGGAAGCCUCUGUGGGAUACUGCCUCAGAGCCUUGGUUCUAGCCUCAGCAGCCAUCAGAAUCCCUCAAACAAGAGCUUGAAAAUUGCACCUCCCUGGCCCCAUGCCACCCCCUGUCCUGGGCAUUCUGUUUACCCACAUGUGGAGGGGAAAUACAAAAUCUGUAUUUUGUAAAGUUCCACGGGAGGUUCGGAUGGCUCACCUGGGUUGAGGCGUUGACUUGGGGGCUCAUUUGUGUUCUCUGGGCUUCUAUUUUAUUUAUUUAUUUUUUAAAUGUUUAUUUUUGAGAGAGAGAGAGAGAGAGCGAGAGCACGCGCACACCGGGUAAGGUCAGAGAGAGAGGGAGACAGAGGAUCCCAAGCGGCUUUGUGCUGACAGCAGAGACCCUGAUGUGGGGCUUGAACUCACAAACUAUGAGAUUGUGAGCUGAACCAGAGUCCAACCCUUAACCGACUGUCCAACACUUAACCGACGGAGCUACCCAGAUGCCCCUGGGGUUCUACUUUAAAGAUUUUUUAAUUUUAUAUUUUUUAAAGUUUUUAAAAAAUGUUUAGUUUUGAGAGAGAGGGAGAGAGAGAGAGAGAGAUGCAAUGUGGGUGAGGGGCAGAGAGAGAGGGGGACAGAGGAUAGGAAGCGGGCUCUGCACUGACAGCAGACGGCCCGACGUGGGGCUUGAACUCACGCACUGUGAAACCAUGACCUGGAGCCGAAGUUUGACAGAGACUGAGCCAACCAGGCACCCCUGGGGUUCUAUCUUAAAUUGUAAAUAGCCCUGGGAAGGUGGAGUUGCUCUGGACUUUUCAUGGCUUUGAGCGAACUGCUUUGAAUAGGCUGCCUUUCCAGACGUGCAGUACGAUUGGUGUGCCUUUAUGGUGUGGGGUGUGGGAGUUCAGGGGAAGGCUCUGAAUGAAUGUUCUAGAAGGGGGUUGGAGCAUGGCCUCAUUGGAUGCCUUGAGGCAAUUAAGAAGGGUACAAGGUAGAGAAGACCUAGGUGUUAAGAGAGGCUUCCAGGAGAGAGAAGAGAAGGCACGAACGCCUCCAGCUUCUGCGGCUUUGCUGUGCAGGACCACGCCCUGGCGUGGAGCUCGCUUAUCUCCAGCCUCUCCCCUUCCCUGUGGUGGGUGGGGCAUACCAGCCCGCUGAGGAAAUACCUAGAAAUGACCUAUGGGGCAACUGUUAAGACUGGUACUUUUCCACUCCAUAUGUUGAUGUGUGCUUCUAAGAUCCCCAAUAUGUACUCCUGCAUAGUCUUGAGGAGUGCUGGGGCUCCCCAGAGGGACGUUCAAGCUCGGGCCGCAUCCCAUAAUGGUGGUUCUUUGACUCUGUAGAGGUCACCACAGAAGGGUUUCUUUGUCAUUUGCCAUCGCCAUUUCUCCUCAGUCUAGUGUCUGCCCCUCUUGGGCGAUUUCUGAUGGUGGGAUAUGUUUUCCACUGGGGCCUACGCUUACCACCUGCCUCCCAGUUUUCCCAUCGCCUUCAGAAGCUAGUUAUUUUUACAAAGGAGCACUCCUCCCUCCAACCCAAUCUUAAAUACAGUUUUGGAACAAGGAGCCUGCCUCCUCUAAGGUAACGGCCGCUCUCCUAUACCAGCUGCUGUCACUUCCUUCACAUGAGUGGACACGUGUUUCCUCUCCUGGUUCCUCUUUAUUUCCCUGCCCUUCCCCCUCUGUGGGGCUGAGGGCAGGCGGGGCUCCUCGCACCAGGUGCUGCGUAACUGAUCAGUGCCCUAGAACCGAAUGGCAGAAAAUUCUGACCAGGUCUUCCUACAAAGUCUCCACCAGCAUCUGGAGGUUUGGGCUGCAAGACAAAGGCUGGUUCCCCAUCCAUCAGCUUUCUCGAUGUCUUCUCUUCCUGGGGUCAGACUGGUAUGUAUUGCUUCCGUUUUGGCCAAUUCCGCACGUAGCCUGUGCCAGGGGUCCAGGGGGAGACAAAAGGAAAAGGGACGCCCACUUCAGGAAGAGAUUUAAACAAGAUAAAAUUUUCUCUUUCUCAUGGAAUUAUCUGAGAAUAAGCAGUCUAACGGCCCUUCGCGUCAGGGACGGAACCCAAGAUGUGGCCUACACGAAGCCGGAGGUUUGGCCCUGCUGCAACACCGUCCCCUCAGCGAGCACCAUUGGCUGCUGUCUCGGCCUCGGUUUAAAGCUCUGUUGGCUCACCCCGACCUGAGUCCUAGGUAUUUUGUGCCUGCUCCUUCCCUAGACUGGGAUGUCCUUGAAAGAGGCCACCACAACCCUCUGCUUUCCUUCUGGCCCCUUCCCCCCUUCAUCCCCAGCAGAAGCCGUUGUGAACCUCGGAAAGCCUAAGCGACAUUACUCACGAUUCACAUUACUCCCCUGCUCUGUGCCCUCCCAUGGCUUUGCCUGAGGCCUCGAGUAAAAUCCAUACUUGUCACCGUAGGGCCCCUAAUGACUCCCAACAUCAUUCCUUCCUACUUUCCCCUCCCCUCACUCACCACUCUCCGGCCAUGUUGGCCUCUCCCAUCCCGCCAAGCUCACUCUGCCUUGGCUGUUCUUCUCCUUAACACGCUCUUCCCUGGACCUCCAUGUGGCCCGCUGCUCCUUGCUACUCAUUCCACAGUCCCAACGUUACCUCUUCUGAAAAGCCUUCCAGACCACCUUUCUAAGUGGACUUCCCCAUCCCAGCAUAAUUCUGUGCCCUGUUACCCUGUUUGAAUGUCUUCAUAGCAUUUAGGAUUAUUAGAAUGAUCUCUUUGAUUUGUUUUCCUGUUUGCCUUCUGUCCGUUCAUUACCCACCCCCACCUCCCACCCACUAGAUUGUAAACUCUAUAAGACACUCUAUGAUUGAGUCACCUUGUGUCUCCAGUACCUAGAACUCCAGCGUGCAGGGAUGGGAGGCACUUGGCUAUGAACCAGGUGAAUCCUGAAUGUUUCACAGCACUAAGCUCAGUUUGCUCAUUUAACAAAGCUUUUGAAAUGAUUCUUAUUUCAACCAAAAUGUGAAUACAGUUUUGGGUCUUCUCCAGAGAAACUAAUUCACGGAGCAGCCUUACAAAAACAUGACACAUUUGACAGAAAUAGCUGGACCCCAGAUUGCACGUGUAGGGGCGCAGGCGGGGUCCUGGGCUAUGGGAAUGUUUGCCAGUCCAAUUUAAGGUGUGCGUAAAAAGUGCAGAAUAAGCUUUUGCUUGUACCCCCUGUACCAACGUCCUCUCUGGUGCCUAGUGGCAAGCUGGCAAGAAGCAGCCUGUGAGGGCAUGGGGCAGAAAAGCGUCAGUCCUGGAUUUCUGCCUUGCUCCAGCCUCCUAAUACCCAUGAGGAGAUAGCAGCUCUCAGCACCUGGCCCAGGCUCUCCAUGAAAUCCUGGCAUGGCAACCAGAUGUGGGAUGCCAGGCCGCCACACAGGGAGGCGAGAGAGCUUCAGUGAAGGAGACCGGUGCUGACAGAGGGGAAUAGAAGCACGCCAGGGAACAGCUGGAGCCCGGGACGGAGGCAGCGGGGAACAGACCUGCGUCUCCAUCAAGGUUUCAAGCCAUCCUCUGACAUCGCUCGUCAGGGAUUUUACCGCUCUCCCAGGUCUGUGUGAUUCACCCCGAUCCAGCUGGCAAGGUGAAGGGGCGAGGGGGUGUUUCCCCCAUACUACAUCUUCACCAGGCUCACAAGGUGGUCCCGGGGCUCCUCUGGGUGGUCUUGGGCGGGUAGAGGUUAGCAUCCAAGUCCCAAGUCAGACUGAGUCUACUUUCAGGGCGCGUUUUCCACCGAUGGUGUACAUUUCCAUUCAAAAGCCCUAAGUGAGCAUUGAAACAGAGCCAUGAUGAAGGUUAUUCGCCCAGACACAAACUCCUAAGAUAUAUUUUGUGUGCUGGGGAAGGAGCGGCCCCCAAAGGCUGAGCAAAGGCAACUCAGGAGCUCAGCAUGUAGGUGGUUUUUGUGGUUUUGGCUUCACCGAAAGUUCCAGAGACGGAGAGGUUUGGCGAUGACUGUGAGGGCAUCUGGUGUGGAUCACUCUUUCGGUCCAGUUGAAUUGAAUCCACCAAGUAGGAGCCAUGUACCUGCGCCGUGCCAAGCACCGUGUUAGGUGUUGUUGGUGGACAGGAGGCCUGUCAAAGUCUGUCCUCCUGGACCUUAUUAUUCGGUGCGGGAUGCAAACAAGAGUUGCCCUGGUAGCGAUGUGAUCACAGAGGGCGGCAGCUGCCUCUUUCUCGUCCAGACCCAGAGAUUUAGAGUCCCGAGGCCCAGUUCAAGUUCCCAACCCACCAACCUCUAGCUGUUGAACUUUGGGCCACUUAAUAUUUUUAAGCCUUAGCUUGCUCGACUAUAAUAUUAGGUUAUUAUAAAUGAGGGGCGCCUGGGUGGCGCAGUCGGUUGAGCGUCCGACUUCAGCCAGGUCACGAUCUCGCGGUCCGUGGGUUCGAGCCCCGCGUCCGGCUCUGGGCUGAUGGCUCGGAGCCUGGAGCCUGUUUCCGAUUCUGUGUCUCCCUCUCUCUCUGCCCGUCCCCCGUUCAUGCUCUGUCUCUCUCUGUCCCGAAAAUAAACGUUGAAAAAAAAAUUAAAAAAAAAAAAAUAAAAAAAAUAAAUGACAUCUGCCCUGUCCACGUCAUGGGUCGUUAGGAGGGCCUGAUGAGAUAAUUUACCUGCAAGUCUUUUUGAGCUCAUAAGGAGACCUUUGAAUUGUUACUGGGACGACCAAGAACUUGGUUUCGGAAGAUUUCAACGCUAUUCUCUCACUGUUGUUCACUGUUAGGUUAUUAACACUACUUAUUAUUAAUAAGAUGUGAAAAUCUGAAAAAGCUAUCAAUAUGCAUUGUCCAGGAUAGGAGCCACUGGCCACACGUGGCCUUGGAGCACCUGAAAUAAGGCGAGUCUGAAUGUGAACUUGGUAAAAAAAAAAAAAAAAAAAAAAAAAAGAGAGAGAAAAGAAUGUAAGCUAUCUCAUAAUUUUUUAUAUUGAUUACAUGUUCACACGAUAAUAUUUUGGAUAUAUUGGGUUAAACUAAAUAGGUGAUUAGAAUUAAUUUAAUUCCUUUUUUUAGUGCAGCUACUAGAAAGUUUUAAAUGACAUACAUGGCUCCCAUUAUGUUUUUACAGGACAUGCAGCUAUCGAGGCUCUCUUUGGAAACUUUGUUCUGCCCACAAGUACUCAUGGACAUUCACAUGCUUUCAGAGGUCGUGUAGACGCCCUUAAAGUCCCAUUUGUGACUAUUUUAAAGGUCGCUUUUUAUUUACACCGAAAAUACGUAUAAGAACUGUUUCUGUGAAAUUAGGUCACAGUCAGCGAGAACCAAGAGACUUACAUUCCUCUGUGCAGGAAACAGUUUCAUCAUCACUGCCAUCAAAGACGCUGCAUGGAAGGUCAGCUCUGGACUGUGUGUAGAGCGCUCCGAUCGAGAUCGUUAGAUCUCUGCAGAUAGGCGGCUAACGCGUCACUACAAAUGUGGGUAGAAGGAGGACACCCUAAAGUUUCACGAAUGAAGAGAUUUUCUGAGGAUCAAGCCAACGGCCGCGCUUCCCUCCCAUCCCCGGAUCUGUCCCCGCCCACCGCAAAAAGGCCAAAGGAAAAGGAAGAGCCAUCCUUUUGCUGUGCCUCUCUCGCUGAGUUCCCCUUCACAUUCUCUGAGGAAUUAUCUAUGCCUAUUUUAUCAGUGGAGAAAAGGAGGCUCAGAACGGCCCAGAAACUUGCCAGCCGUCACGUGGGUAGAAGAAGCAAACUGAGAAGCAAACGCUUUCCAGAGUUGGGCCGCGUCUGGGAGGUACUACCUUUAAACAUGGAGUCGACUGCGACCUAACGAGACCCAAGGAGUCUGCUGGCUGGCCUGGUCCCCAAGCAGAAGCAGAUCACUGCCCAACUUCUACGUGUGGGACGACCCGUGGCAACAUAAAGGGCAAACACACAAGGAAGUCUUUCUUUCUGAGAAUGUUUCCACUGCAGUUAGGUUAGAAAAUGAUCCGGGGAAGAUAUAAACUAGCUCUUUCAUUUAGCAAAAUAAAAUGCCUCUCCACUUGGUAAUCUGGGUGGUGGAAGUCCCAGCCAGAGUCUUGGUUUUUAAAGGUUUUGUUUAAUUUGCCACCCCCACACCUCUCCUCCCACCACCUCGCAUCAGGCUAGACAAGAAGAAAGGGGACAGUGGCCUGGCAGAUGCCUCCGUGUGGUAUGUCCUUGCAGAAUAGCUUCAGCAGCACUUUAUGUCAAAUAACCAGGGGAAAAAAGGGAAGUGGAGGUGAUGGGAGGUGUCUGCAUUUCCUGGGGUUUUGUUCCAGUUUUAAUAAAUAAGGAUAAUGCAUAGAGUGUCUCCAUUUCCAGAGCUGUGUUUUUUUCCUUAAACACUGCCGCUCUUCAUGGGGAAGGAAUGAGACAUUCCUGACACAUGAUUUGGCAGGUCUCAAUCAUAAAUGAUCCAAUAUUGGCUUUCAGAAUCCCGUUCCAGAUUUGGCCCAGACUCCAAACCCUGUCCAGGCACCAGCUAGAUGAGUACCUCUGGGCCUGGGCGGGGUGCCAGCCACACUUUGAAUAACAUUUGUGGGAUCUCCCCAGGGGUUCUGGUGAGGAAGGCAGUGAUUUGUUGUCCGGAUAGCUUUUCCCUCCUUGGAAAAGAGCACACGGAAUGAAAGCGCAUGAAGGACAUCAGGUGUCCCCACAGGAGUUUCAUAAUAGCGAAGACACGGAGGAGCCACCAUGCAGGGACCAAGUGAGGAACGUUUUGUCCCCGCCCUAAGGUACUUGCCCUCAAUCAGCUAAUCCCACUAUGGUACGGCUGGUGGCACCUGUCAAGUUAAAAAGUGAAAUCUACCAAACUUAUUUGUCUUUGGGGGUGGGGCUGUGUCUUUUCCUGAGUGGUGCCCCGUCUGGCAUUUCUCAAAACAUGAUCUAGAGACUCGUCUGCAUUAGAAUCGAGGGGAUCUAGUUCCAUGGUGGAUUUUUGGUCUCCUAAUCACCUACCAAGUAUGUGCGAACUAGAGCCAAGAAUUUGCUUCACAGCAACCUGCCAGGCAAUCCUGAUACACCCCAAAGUUGUGAGCCAUUGGCUAUAAAAAAUCCUUCACAUAUUUUUAAUCCAUCGCAGCACCUCGUGGCGGUGGAGAGUAAGACUGGCUUCGUUUUGCUGAUGGCCAUGUGAAUUUGUUUCACUGCGUGUCUACUUACUUAGGGAAAGUUUGAACUGCUAAAGACAGGGGCUACUUUAAGCCUUUGCUCUUGCCGAUUGAUACAUGUAUCUUGUCCUUUUGCAGUUAUGGUUAUCAUCUGCCCACCAACAGUAUUUCUAAGAAGCUGCUUCUCUGUGUCUUCUGGGAAGAAUGUAUCCUUCAAUAUAUGUGAUUGCAGCCUGUUGAUAAAAGCAAAAGAAAAAUAAUAAAACCCACUUUGUUGAAC